UCCCUUUCUCUUCUUCCCUCUUUUCCUUUCUCUCUCCCCGAGCUCUCUUUUCCCGCCGGAUUUUCGACCGCCAGACCGCCGCCGUCCGGUCUCCGUUCGCCGCCGGACCGGUCCCGUUCGGUCGGUCUCCCUCCCAGCAACAUUUCUAGACCGGUGACAGCCUCCCUAGCGCCGCCGUGAGUGAGCGGUGCCGCCCGAAAGGUCCGACUGCCGUAGCUCUCCUUCGCCGGAAUUUCCUCCUCCGGCCACCAAUCCGGGCAAGCUUGGUACGGUUUUGUAGCCCUCCUCCCGUGCAACAACCCCUCCAAACAGCUCCCUCCCUCUUGAGCUAGGUAAGGAGAAAUUUGAGGUGGAAGUUUUAUGGUGUUUUUGAUGUUUUUAAUCGAUUGCCCUAGUUAGGCUUGGAAUUGGUGUUUGUGCUAGUUAUGAAAGUUGUAGAGCUUGAUGAGAGGAAGAUGCUGUUAAAAUUUCAUAGGUUUUGGAGGUCGCCGGAAUUGACCUCCGGCCGCCGCUGCCGGCGGAGCCGCCGGCGGCGCCGCCGCCGGUUGGGAGAUUUUAAUGUUGUUAAAUUUGGAAUAUUAAGGGGAGUUUAUUGAAGUGAGUUAUGGAAUUUUUGGAUGAGUUUUGGAUAGGUUUAUGAAUUUCCGAAGUGUGAUAUUUUUGGCGGGUAAUUAAUGUAGAAUCCGGCCGUUGGAUUUAAGUCGUAUUUUGGAGAUGUUGUAUUUACGACUGUGGAGUAUGAUAUUUAAGUUCGGAUCGUCCGAUGUAAGAAUAUCGAAGUUAGGCAAUAAUGAGCGUAAUUAUGGCUCUCGGGUAAUUUUGCCUAUUUUGAUUAAAUAUUGGAUAUUGGUUGGGAAAUUAAUAUUAUAUUUGGAACAGGACGUGAAGAGGCUCGAGCAGACGAGACCCCAGAUUGACAUCAGGCUUAGGCCUAAUUCGUGAGUGGACUUUUAUUUGAAAUAAUAUGCAUGCUAUGGUUCAUGAUUGAACAUUUCCUUUUGUUGGAGUUUUGACGUCAAUUAAUUUUGACGCUUUUAUUUCUCUGAGAGAGUUACCGAAAAUGGGAUUUUCGGUAAAUAUAAAUAUGUAUUUAUGAGAGAGUAUGUAUAGAAAAUGCUAGCUAGCCAUAUGUGUCUGUCCACCUUAAUGGCGUAGCAUAUAGCCGCAUUAUGGUGUGACGUGAGCGUUGGACGUAAGCGUAGUAGCCUUAUAUGAGUGUUUAAUUCAUAUAAGGGGUAUGGGCACAUAUUUAUACACCCGUCUGUCCACCUUGAUGGCGUAGUGUAGCACCGCAUUAAGGCGUGACGUGAGCGUUGGACGCGAGCGUAGUAGCCCUAUAUAGACCCAUGAAUUUAUAUAGGGAGUAUGGACGAGUGUAAAUACAUACAUAUAUUAUAGAGUCUGAGAGGCUCGAUAUUUUAUGGGAUAAAGGUUUUAUCGCUUGCGGCACGCAUUCGAUUUUUCCUUAGAAAUUACUUUGGGGAAACAUAAAUAUUUUAAUUAUUAAUUUAUUUUUGUCCACUCACUCUAACGUUAUUAAAUGUUUUCCCCUGGGCCCUUCGUUUUAAAUUGCCCAGUCUGCAGAGUUCGGGUUGGAUCUAGUAGGAGACGAGGCAUAGUCACCCGCUUUUCGGCCAGUUUUCAUCAGUAGGUUACAUGUUCAACCUACUUGUGUUUUCUUGCUUCCGCUUGUGUUUAGUAGCUCUGAAUACUUUAGAAUUUUUGUAUAUUAUGUGAUGUUCAGAAGUGUAAUAUGAAAUUUUCGAGUUAGGGUUGUCCAUCUACAAGGGAGAUUUUCUUAAUCUUUUCAGUAAAUUUUCCUUGGAGGUGGUCCCCGCACGACUUAUUCUGGGUUUCAGGGUGAAAUUCGGGGUGGGUCGUGUCAGUUGGUAUCAGGCUUAGGCCUGAUUUGUGAGUGGACUUAUAUUUUUACCUUGACAAUCCCGCUUGUCAAGGUGCUGUGGAGAAGUCAUCAAGUAGAAGAAGCUACUUGGGAAUCAGAUGAGCAAAUGAUGCAGCAGUAUCCGUAUCUCUUCGGAGGACAUGUAUAUUAAUUUCGAGGACGAAAUUUUUAUAAGGAGGGGAGAAUUGUCACAUCCCGACCCUUAUAUUUUUACCUUAUUUACUAGCGUGAUUAUAAUAAGAAUUUUACCGUCUCGAUCAUUGAGUAAAUAGUUUAAUUGGUCCCUAGAGGGGUUUCGGGGACGAUUAUGUGCGGAGGAUUAUUCGUAUGAGGAAAAUACGACGACGGUAAAAAUAGUAAAUUUUAGCUAGUAAAAGGUAAUUUUUAUUCGGGUAUUAUUUUUCGGGGUNNNNNNNNNNNNNNNNNNNNNNNNNNNNNNNNNNNNNNNNNNNNNNNNNNNNNNNNNNNNNNNNNNNNNNNNNNNNNNNNNNNNNNNNNNNNNNNNNNNNNNNNNNNNNNNNNNNNNNNNNNNNNNNNNNNNNNNNNNNNNNNNNNNNNNNNNNNNNNNNNNNNNNNNNNNNNNNNNNNNNNNNNNNNNNNNNNNNNNNNNNNNNNNNNNNNNNNNNNNNNNNNNNNNNNNNNNNNNNNNNNNNNNNNNNNNNNNNNNNNNNNNNNNNNNNNNNNNNNNNNNNNNNNNNNNNNNNNNNNNNNNNNNNNNNNNNNNNNNNNNNNNNNNNNNNNNNNNNNNNNNNNNNNNNNNNNNNNNNNNNNNNNNNNNNNNNNNNNNNNNNNNNNNNNNNNNNNNNNNNNNNNNNNNNNNNNNNNNNNNNNNNNNNNNNNNNNNNNNNNNNNNNNNNNNNNNNNNNNNNNNNNNNNNNNNNNNNNNNNNNNNNNNNNNNNNNNNNNNNNNNNNNNNNNNNNNNNNNNNNNNNNNNNNNNNNNNNNNNNNNNNNNNNNNNNNNNNNNNNNNNNNNNNNNNNNNNNNNNNNNNNNNNNNNNNNNNNNNNNNNNNNNNNNNNNNNNNNNNNNNNNNNNNNNNNNNNNNNNNNNNNNNNNNNNNNNNNNNNNNNNNNNNNNNNNNNNNNNNNNNNNNNNNNNNNNNNNNNNNNNNNNNNNNNNNNNNNNNNNNNNNNNNNNNNNNNNNNNNNNNNNNNNNNNNNNNNNNNNNNNNNNNNNNNNNNNNNNNNNNNNNNNNNNNNNNNNNNNNNNNNNNNNNNNNNNNNNNNNNNNNNNNNNNNNNNNNNNNNNNNNNNNNNNNNNNNNNNNNNNNNNNNNNNNNNNNNNNNNNNNNNNNNNNNNNNNNNNNNNNNNNNNNNNNNNNNNNNNNNNNNNNNNNNNNUUUUCCCCUGGGCCCUUCGUUUUAAAUUGCCCAGUCUGCAGAGUUCGGGUUGGAUCUAGUAGGAGACGAGGCAUAGUCACCCGCUUUUCGGCCAGUUUUCAUCAGUAGGUUACUUGUUCAACCUACUCGUGUUUUCUUGCUUCCGCUUGUGUUUAGUAGCUCUGAAUACUUUAGAAUUUUGUAUAUUAUGUGAUAUUCAGAAGCGUUAAAUUAAGAGUGUAAUAUGAAAUUUUCGACUUAGGGUUGUCCAUCUGCAAGGGAGAUUUGCUUAAUCUUUUCAGUAAAUUUUCCUUGGAGGUGGUCCCCGCACGACUUACUCUGGGUUUCAGGGUGAAAUUCGGGGUGGGUCGUGUCAGCAUGUGUAUGUCAGUAUGCGUAAGAUAAUGCUACAUGGAGAGAUAGAAAACAAGUCUCGAUAAUCCAUACUUGUAUCUCUUCUAUGUAAGGAUUAAUUCUACUUACGUAUAUACAUUAUUGGGGAAGACAUCACAAAUGCGUAUUUGAACUAUUACCUCAACAGUACAAAGUACAAACGAACAAAACCGUCGUUUGUUAUAUGAUUGAUUCGCUUUAGUUCUCUUUGAUGAAAUUCACAAGAUAUAUCAAAAUUGAUAUCUAGAUUCAAAUCUGAUCUCCAACCUGUAAAGAUCGCUAAACCCAACAUUCCUGCCACUCCAAUGCUUAGACCACAUUGCUCAUGAGCUGCUCAUAAAUUGGUAAGAAGACCAUGCCAAAAGAACUGCAAUUGACCAAAAGAAAGAGAUAUAUAUACAAUAUGCAGUGAAUAUGAGUUUGAACACAAUGUGACGCCAUUUUAUUACAAGAAUCAUGCUCUUACGUACAUUACCCACUCACAACAUAGCGUGGGCACAAUUUUUAGAUAUUUGAUCCUAUUUUUAAGCAUCAGUAUUAACUAAACAAUAAAAUAAAUCGCAGCAGUGUGCGGGGCAAAGAUUAGUCAUAAUGAAAUGAACUCAAAAUUAAGAGAAGACAUUGCACAUGAUUAUCCUAAAUCUUGAACAAAUGCAUACAUGUUCAUUGAUCUCACGUAGUCAGUAUAUGUAAUUUCUCACGAUGCGUAAUGCGUAUAAUGAAGUGAAAAAUCGCUUUGAUCUUGUGGCCUUAGUGCUUAGUUUGCAACUGAAUAAUUCUGACUUUGGACUCGAAGAUUAGCUGCUAUACAUUGUACGUGGUAACAAUGAACUAAAGAAUUACAUAGAAGAGCCCCUUCCACAACCCAGCUGAUCAAGAGGGAAAGGAUAUAAAUCAAUUUGUAAUAUUAUCAGUUGUUUACUAACGCUUCUACGCAACAAAGAAAAAAGAAAGAAUAAAGAUAAACAACCACGGACAAUGAUAUAGAGCGCAUAACUUGGUAAUUAAAAAGAAUGAGAAACUAUACUGCUGCGAUGUGAAUGACAUUAUUUUUGUUUAACAUCUUUGAUCAAACAUCCUCCUUAGAUAUAGAAUGAAAAACUAUACUGCUGCAAUUAUAUAUCUCCCGUCAACAUUGUUACCUCCCUGGAUCGAAACUAUACUAUUCACAUAAUAAACAGCUUCUAGGUUUUCUACAGACACGCCUUUUAUAGGAAGAUACUUGAGCCUUCCUGCAGGGAAGUCAUAGAAACUUACCACACAUCUAUCACGGCCUACAAAAAGAAAUUGGUCAUUCUUUCCAACAAAUGCCAAUGGGCAGAUAGAAAUAACUGGUUGACAGUAAGUUAAGUAUUUUGUCCAAGAACCCUCAUUACCACCAGUGCCAUCUAGAACCCAUAUUUCUAAGGACUUUUCAGAAAUACUUCAACCCGAUAUAGCAAUGGUUUCAUUCCAGAAUCCAAAUACCAUAUCAACCAUGCAAGAAUUUUCUGAAAAUGAUAUAACGUGAAAUGUCUCAUCGCCUAAAUGAAACGAAAUCACACAUACCUUGGGGAUUUCAAAAUCCUCUUCUUCAUCUUCAUCAGGUGUAAAACAAACUUUAUAUUCUCUCGGACUUUUCAUUGCACACCAAUAAAUUAUUCCCCUACAGCAUAUGAAAUUCCUUGCUUGACGCUUAGCCCUUGGCAACGCUUCAACAGUAUCCUUGACCAAACUAUCAGUACUGAUCUCUUUCCAACAAUCUGUGACGAGGCUGUACACUUCUGCUUUGGGAGGAUGAGUUCUAGCACGAUCAUCAUCAAGACAAUCAUGUCCGAUUGACAAAAUUCUAACAACUUUAGAAGUCUUGGAUUUGAGAUCAUACCCGAUUCCGAUAGCAGCUGUUGCUUCCAAAUCCCUAUCAUCAUUAACUUUAAUCCAAUUCAGGCAAGAGAGAACAAGAUUUGACACAUGAAGAACCUUGAAUUCCUUGAUAGCUGGAUUUCAUAAAACUACUCUUUCUUUCAUGUCAGUUAAACAAAUGAUCCCAUCACAAUGGCCUUCAAGUUCCACCCUCUCGUGCCCCCAAACAUUAAUCUUCAUUAGACGCGUUGAAGAUGGUACGUAGAGGUCCUCUAUAAAGAAUCAAGGUGAUGCUGCUUGGCAUCAUCAUCAUCGUCUUCAUGGACAAGACUAAACAAUGACAACACUACAUCCUUUUUGCCAGUGUUCAUGUCUCUAAUGACAAAACGCUUGAAAGGUGGUGAAGGAUGAGAGUUUGUUGUGCUUCCAAACAGAGAGGUGCGUGGCUGCAAAAUUGGGGUUGUGGAUCAAGGCAUACCACGAAGUAUGGAUGCACUUGAAUCGCAUAAGAGAUUUUGGAGGAAGCCUUGACAAUAUUUGUACCAUCAUCUCUUCCGCCAAUUUGGACAACACGGCCAUUUGUGCAAGAAGAUUGUCUUAUCGUGAAAAUUAAGGAAUGAAAACACAAUUUUCUUGUGUACACUUCUGGACUUCUGGUAAUUGGCUAUGCAAGUUGGAUUAUUGAACAGAGCGCGCGCGCCACACACACACACACACACAUAUAUAUAUAUAUAUACAAUGCUAUCAGGUGCGGACGUCCGCACCAAAGUUUUUGGUGCGGAUUUCCAUUUUUGCACCACUUGCCGAUCGAAUUUCCUCAAACUUCAUUCUAGAUAUAUCUAGAUCAUCUUGUGUAGAUCAUCUCUGCAAAAUUUCAGCCAAUUUGGUGAUCGUUAAGGCCCUCAAACUCGAGUUUUUCUGGUAUGAACACAACCGGACAGAAUUCAGUCCGUCCAUUUUUNNNNNNNNNNNNNNNNNNNNNNNNNNNNNNNNNNNNNNNNNNNNNNNNNNNNNNNNNNNNNNNNNNNNNNNNNNNNNNNNNNNNNNNNNNNNNNNNNNNNNNNNNNNNNNNNNNNNNNNNNNNNNNNNNNNNNNNNNNNNNNNNNNNNNNNNNNNNNNNNNNNNNNNNNNNNNNNNNNNNNNNNNNNNNNNNNNNNNNNNNNNNNNNNNNNNNNNNNNNNNNNNNNNNNNNNNNNNNNNNNNNNNNNNNNNNNNNNNNNNNNNNNNNNNNNNNNNNNNNNNNNNNNNNNNNNNNNNNNNNNNNNNNNNNNNNNNNNNNNNNNNNNNNNNNNNNNNNNNNNNNNNNNNNNNNNNNNNNNNNNNNNNNNNNNNNNNNNNNNNNNNNNNNNNNNNNNNNNNNNNNNNNNNNNNNNNNNNNNNNNNNNNNNNNNNNNNNUUGUGUGUGUGUGUGUAUAUAUAUAUAUAUAUAUAUAUAUAUAUGACUUGUAUGUGAACAUCCCUUAUCAUUUUUUGGGCACUGAUAUGGCGCCUAGACCAGCUAAGGGAGACGCCUUAACCCGCCUAGACCCGCGUGGGGAUUGUCUAGACCCGCUUAAGGACAGCCUAGACUUGCAAAGGGGUUGCCUACACUACAACAAACAUAGUUAUUUCCAAAGGCAAGAUUUGGUCGGGAAAGCCGUUUUUCGUUGGAAAUAACAUUUUCCGACGAACAGAGGCCGUCGGUAGUCGUCGAAAAAAAUCUGGUUGGAAAAAAUCUUUUUCCGACAAACCCUUGGAAAAUGUCAUUAUUUCCGACAAAGUUUUGUGGUCGCAAAAGGUUUCACUGAUUGGAAAUUAUGCUCCACUGACGACGACAAAAUAUUAUUUUCGACAAAAAAUGUUGUCGGAAAUAACUUUUUGCUCGUCAACAAUAAGUAGUUUUCGAUGGCUAUGUUUUCCUCGGAAAUGAAUAUUUCUUUGUCGGAAAUUGUGAUCUAUUAUUUCCGAGAGUGAAACGGUCGGAAAAGAUUGGUCGGAAUUUUUUCCAAACUAGCUUAUUUAUUUAGCAAAUAUUUGUUUUCCGUCCCAUUCAUUGGAACCUGUAAACUUAAUUGUAAGAAUUGGUUGGAUGAUGAUAAUUAUUUAUUAAACAUAAAAAAAAGAAAAGUAGAAUUUCAGCAUUACAAGAAACAUAGCUAAGAUAUUUCAAAGCUAAUAUAUCCUUAAGUAAGAAAGGCAAAUAAGUUAAACUACUAAAACAUGAUCUUCAUUAACAAGCAAGAAAGACAAUAUUUUAGGUGCAGCUGUAAAACACCUUAUGAAAGUUGGAAUUACCAUCAACACCAUCUUCAUCAGCACCAUCUCCAUCAGUCCCAUCUUUAUCAGCACCAUAUCCAUCAGUAUCAUCAUCUUCAUCAACAUUAUCUCCAUCAGUUUCAUCUGCAUCAAUACCAUCUUUAUAAAAACCAUCUUCAUCAUGGAGUGCACUUGAAUCCGUUGCAAUAAUAUCAUCAUUUUGAAGAAAAAAGAAAUAAUUAAACACAUAAUUUAGAAUAAAAAAUAUGAGCUAAAUCAUGUUAUAAAUAGCAUAAACAACAACAACAUACAAAUAUUCAGUAAGGUAUAGAUCGUACCACAUAAUUUGAAUUUCUUGCACUUUUAGAAUUGUCAGAGCUAUGAGGUAGCAAAUUUUGAACAACUUGAGUAAAUUUGUCCAAUUUAUCUUUCAGAGUUUCUACUUCGCCUUUCACUGUCUCAUAAUUUUCUUUUAAUUCCAAACAUGUAGGCUUAUUACAAGUUUAUUUAUGUGAAUUUAUAUCUUUGAGUUUUGCCCUAACACCUAACUCAAGUGCACGGCCAUGACUAUGCUCACGAAUGACUUUCUCAUAUAUCUCCCAAUCAUCAACUUCACCAAACACCUCUUCCACUCGAUCCAUGUUCUCAGUAAGAUCCUCCUGCAAACAAUAGUUUGCAAAUUUAAUCUAUGUAAAAAUAAUCACAAUUUAAUAUAAAAAUAGAGAAAGUUUGAUUUAAGUAUCAGGUAUGGAAACAUACAUAAAUUUCCUUAGCCUUCUCACUUUUCCAAUGUUCUUCCUUACUGUCUUUUGCUUUACUUACAUGGAACUUUCUCCAACACUAUUCGACUAGGUUCAACUCCAUUCCAAUCAAGCUAUGAGAUCGAAGAAAAUGUGUUUUAGAAAGAUUAAUAUAUAAGUAAUUUAUUUUCAAGUUAAAUAAGUUCUACGUUAAGCAAUAGAUUAUUCAAAUUGAUAACCAGGAUAUAUAUUGAAUCAGUAACUUAUAUGGAAUAACCAACUCUAAAUUUAUAUUGAUUAAACAUGGUGAGAUAAUGGAACGCGCCUCACGAGCUGAAAAUUUGGGGAAAAUAGCUCUGCUAGGGUUUUGUCGAUCGAGAUUUUGGGCGGCCUGGGUGGUGCGAUGGUGGCCUCCAUGGCCUGGUUUUCGAGGCUUUUCAUGCUCAUCUCCUCCUCUCUUACCUUCAACAGCGAUUCGAGUGUGAUUGGGUUCGAAUCUGUGGAUGUUUGUGAGGAUAUUGGCCAGCCAAUCUUGGCAAUUUGGUGGCUUGAGGAUCGGUUGUCGGAUGAGAAAUGGCUACCUCUUACGUUGUUGUGUGCCCGUAUAAAGAUCCUGGGGGUUAAAUCUUUUCAUGAAGGUGAUGAUUGCCCAGUCUUUCUCAAGGACAAAUCUACUUAUGGUCAUGGUCAUGUUCUUCGCCUUCCUGGACUUGUCUUGAAUCAGGUAAAAUUAGACCAGGUAUGUCUCAUCACCCAUUUGUCUUUUGUUAAUCAUAACCUUUCUUUUAUUUAUUCUCUUGAGAUAUUGUUCAGAUCAGACCCACUUUUGAGUUGGGUUCUUUGGCACUACGAUUGUGUUGGAGAUCCUAGGUGUACUCUUUCUUCUUUGAAAGAGUAUUAUCAAAGUCUGUGUGCUAUUGGCAUUUGUCAAUUUGAUAUUUCUAUUAACCCUAUUUCUUUGAUUGAUAACUUUGCUUUCAUUUAUCGCAAGAAAUUGAUCAAAGAGAUGAUUUGUGGUCUGUCUACUGCCAUCAUGACUAAUUUGGAGAAUGGCACUUCCAUAAAUUUUUUAAGUCUUGUUUCAUGAAGAUACUGUCAUGGAAUAGUCAGGGAAGUGCCUGGGAUGGUUUUGUGGCACAAUCCCAUUUCUAUGUUUCUUGCUUAGUUCCUGAUGUUUUUUAUAUUAUGGAUACCAGAGCUGCAGCCAAUACUCUGGAUAAAUUGAAAAAGCUUUAUUUUGAUGAUGCCUUUGUUAUUCCUGCUUUGGGACAAUGUGGAGGUCUUGUGCUUCUUUGGAAAACCUCUUCUGUUAAAAUUGAUGUGAUUCAUUCUCAUGAUAGGUUUAUUCAUUGCCUCAUUACUGACCACAGAGACUCUAAAUCUACCUAUGCAAUGUUUGUGUAUGCUUUUCCUCAGAAACCAAAACAAGCGGCUCUCUGGAAUGAUUUAGCUUGUCUGAAGCCUGCAAACCAUGAAAAUUGGCUCCUUAUUGGCAAUUUUAAUGCCAUCACUUGUUUGGAUGAAAAACUUGGCGGUAACCAAGUGGUCACUCAAUAUAUGAUUAAUUUUUAUGAUUUCUUAAACAGCUCAGAUCUUUUCUCUCUCAGAGCUUCUGGUUUGCCUUAUACUUGGACAAAUAAACAUGAAGAUGGUACUCUUAUUUUUGAGAGACUUGAUAGAGCUUGUGUGAACACAAAUUUACUAAAUGAUUGUCCGGAUAUCUCCCUAGAAAACCUUCCAAUUAUAGGUUCAGAUCAUGGACCUGUUUGCCUCACUCUGAAUGACACUAAAAAGAAAGUUGCUAAAAGCUUCAAAUUUGAAGCAAUCUGGCUUUCUCACAAAGACUUCAAACCCUUGGUGGAACUUUAUUGGAAACAGAAUUUAAACGAUAACCCCUUGUUAAAUUUCACUACUAUUGCAGGUCAAUUUGCCAAUCAAGCAAAGCAAUGGAGCAAGAAUGUGCUUGGAAGUCUCACCAGACAGCUAGAAGACUUAAAUGAACGAGCCAGCGUUAUACAACAACAACUAAUGAUUUCUCCAAUGUCUAACUAUUUAAAGGAACAAGAUCUCAAGACUAAAGAGGAAUUCUUGAAACUUUACAGGGAAGAAGAACUCUUCUGGGCUCAGAGAGCAAAGGCAAAUUGGCUCAAUUUGGGUGACAGGAAUACGAGAUUUUUCCAAGCUCAGGCUAACAUAAGAAGGAAAUCUAACUAUAUUUCUAAAAUUAAAGAUAAUGCUGGAAAUUGGGCCACUUCUGAACAAGAUAUUGUUGAUGUAUUGUUACAGGAUUUUAAAAAACGUUUUCACAUGGACUCUGCUCCUAGCCAUAAUGCUCUUGACGAUUUUAUUUCCGUAAUAGACCCUUGUAUCGAUAAUAAUGAUAAUGUCUCUCUUUUGAAACAGAUCACAGAUGAGGAAAUUUGGGAUGUCGUUAAGGCUAUUGGAGCACUUAAAGCCCCGGGACCGGAUGGUUUGCAUGCCUCUUUUUUCCAAAAUUGCUGGUCAGAAGUGAAGGAUGUAAUUAUUCCUAUGAUUAAAGGUAUCUUUAAUGAUAGCAGUUUUUUACAUUUGAUUAACCAUACCAACAUUGCCUUGAUUCCUAAGGUAGAUAAUCCUACCAAAGUUAAUGAUUUUAGACCAAUUAGUUUGUGUAACGUCUCUUAUAAGAUCUUAGCUAAGAUAUUGGUGAAGAGGUUAAAACCUCUACUUGACAAGUGCAUUUCUAAAAAUCAAGGAGCUUUUGCUCCAGGAAGGGAUAUCCAGGACAAUAUUCUGAUUGCUCAUGAACUAUUAUGUGAUUUUCAGAGGAAGAAAGGUAAGUUGGGAGCUUUUUCUCUUAAACUUGACUUGGAAAAGGCUUAUGAUUUCUUGAAUUGGGACUAUGUUACCCAUUGCCUUAGGAAAUUUGGCUUCCAUAGCUCUUGGAUUAAGUUGAUCUAUAACUGUAUUUCGUCAGUUUCUUUUUCUUUACUGAUAAAUGGUAGCCCUUCGGGUUGGUUUAAACCAACUAGGGGGAUUAGACAAGGAGACCCGCUUUCUCCUUAUAUUUUCAUUUUAGCUAUGGAACCUCUUAUUAGACAAUUCAAUGAUCUAGCUAUGAACUAUAAGGCCCAUGUUGGUCUUUUGUCUUCCCCUUUAGGGUUCAGAAUUUCAAAUUUAAUGUUUGCCGAUGAUUGCUUGAUCUUUGCAAAGGCCUCUAAAAAAGAAGCAAAAAAUGUUUCAAAUGUUCUUAACCUUUUCUCUCAAUUAGCUUCGGGCCAGAAGAUCAAUUAUCACAAAUCUUCGCUAUUUUUCUCUCCAAAGGUAAACUCUACUACUAAAAAUGAUAUUGUUAGUGUUCUUAACAUUCAGCAUAAGUCCACCAUUGGAAAACACUUGGGUAUUCAUAAUGUUCUUUUUUGGAAAGACCCCAUUAAUGCUAAGGAGUUAUUACUCAAACUCACAAACAGACUUGCAGGUUGGAAGAAAGGUACACUCUCACGAGCUAGUAGACUGACUCUGAUCAAAUCGAACCUUGCUCCUAUGCCAAAUCAUGUCAUGACUUGUUUCAAAUGUCCCAAAAAGCUUACUAAUAGCAUUGACAAAUUAACCAGAGAUUUUUUCUGGGGUUCUGAUGUGAAAUGUCCCCCUGUAGCAUGGAAUCAAGUUUGUCAACCCAUGUCUACAGGAGGGUUAGGCAUACGACCAGCAAGUUUUUUCAAUAAUGCUGCUUUAGCUAAACUUGGUUGGAAGGUUCUAACUGAUGACAACAAUUGGUGGGCUCAAAUAGUUAGAAAGAAAUACUUAUCAAACAUUUCUUUUUUUCAGGCAAGGAAAAAGCAAAAUAACUCUACUGCUUGGAAUGGAGUAUUGGACUCAAGAGAACUGAUACUUAAAGGUAUGUGAUGGGUUGUUGAAAAUGGUAAGCAAAUUCAAUUUUGGACCUUUAAUUGGGUUUUUGAUAACCCCCUUAUUAAUUUAUUGCCUCAAAGCUAUCUCUCUAGGAUAAAUUUGGAUGAGUAUGUGGAGGACUAUAUUUUGAAUGGUGCUUGGAAUAAAGCUAAGCUUUGUUCAGUUCUUGAUAUAAGUUUAGUUAAUCAUAUACUUGGUGUUCCUUUACCUAUUUCGAACCAGGAAGAUGCUAUUAUUUGGGGACCUUCCUCAAAUGGUAAAUUUUCGAUUAAGUCUGCUACUUGGUUACAAUAUGAUCAAGUUCAGGAACAUGAUCAAAUACAGCUGCUAAACAAGUUAUGGAAGCUAAAUAUCCAACCAAAAGUUAAGCUUUUUGGUUUGCUCUUGAUCAGAGGCAGGCUCAAAACAAGAGACAGGCUCUCUAGGUUUGGUUUUAUUGAUGAUAACUCUUGCCCCCUUUGUAACAAUGAUAAUGAAACAGCUAACCAUCUUUUUGGUUAUUGUGAAUUUACUAAACAAGUUUGGAAUCUUUCUCACAUUGACUCCCCAGUUGAUUGGGAAGAGGGUUACCUCAAAGUUUUUAAGGAACUCUUUAUCUCUCAACCUUAUGAUGCUGAUUUGUUUGCAAAAGUGAUUACCAUUUGUUGGCAGGUCUGGAAAGUUAGAAAUGAUACUGUUUUUAGAGGAGGUGUUCCUAAUCCUCUAUCAACUACCUUAGCUGCAGCUUCAAUGAUCUCAUGUCAUACUAGUCUUAGCGAAAGAGUUAUGGGGGUGCAUUCUCAAAACCAGUGUGCCACUAUUAAGUGGCAAGCUCCUCCUAACUCUUUUGUUAAAAUUAACUUUGAUGGAUCAGUCACAAGUAACUCAGCUGCUUGUGGCUUUAUAAUUAGAGACUCCAAUGGAAGACCGAUCUCUGCUGCCUCCAAUUGCAUUGGUAGAGCUUCAGUUCCAAUUGCUGAAACCGUGGCUUUGAGAGACGGCUUACUCAAAGCAAAGGAGAAGGGUUUUACUAAUGUUGAAGUUGAAGGAGAUUCAAAGUUGGUGAUAGAUGCAGUGCUUUGAACCACCUUGGAGAUUGAUCAAACAAGUGGAAGACAUCAGAACUUUAGCUACUAGUUUUGAUUCUAUUACUUUUAGGCAUGUGUUAAGGGAAGCUAACUUUGUAGCCGAUGCUAUAGCUAAUCUUGGGCAUGCUUGUAAUUCUCCUAUGUAUUGGAAUGAUAGAAUUCCCAGUGAGGUUUCGAGAGCCUUACUAUUUGAUAUUGUAAACGUUGGUUGCCCUAGAGGCUUCUUAAUGUAAUUUAUUUUCCCUUUCAAAAAAAAGUCCAAAUUUAUAUUUCUUACCUCCUCUUUACGCCAUUUUGUCAUUGGGACCGAACCUGCUGUGUGAACAAUUGUUUAUUGAUCUCGAUUACUUUUGUUUCUUUCACUAAUCUUCUGCAAAAUAUAUCAAUGAAUUAGAAAAAGUUCAAAGGAUUUUAAUACUGGAAAAAAGUAGUAUACUUAGUUACGUGCCAUUCGGGAUCCAACUAUGUUUCAACCAAUUUCGGCCACACAAUUCUAUUUAUACAUUUUGGGCAAUGAGAAUAACGAUAUGUUCCAAAAACGAUGUUCCUUAUUACGCUCAUCUAGUCGGGAUAUCGGAUUUUGACAUGCUUUUCAAAUGUUUUCCUUACAUCUUCUUCAGAGCAUAAGAAUUUAAAGUUACAUUCUUUCCAGCGGUCAUAUAGGCUAUUCAAGCCACUCCCCCUCCCCCUUAUUUUUUGUAUUCGGGCCAUGUUGUAAGUGCCUUCUUCAGCUCUUGCUUGAAGAGUGGUAAUAUUGCACGUAUUGCAAAAGGGAUUAUGAUCUUGGAAACAACACCGUCAUUUAUUUUGAACAAGUAUUAAUGUCCUUACGUGAGACAUGCCUAGGGUCACUAAGGGGCAGUCUUGACCCGCCGAGGGCCGUCAAGGGGCCGUUUUGACUUGUCAAGGGACCACCUUGACUCUCCUAGACCCUCGUAGAGACCACCUAGACCCUCUUAGGGGCCACUUAGACCCGCCAAGGGGCUACCGAGACCCACUUAGGGCCGUUAAAGGAGCACCUUGACCCACCUAGGGCGGCGAAGGGGCCGCCGAUCGGCCGCCUUGACCAGCUUAAUUAGGGGCCACUGAGACCCAUCUAGGCCGUCGAGACCACCUAGACCUACUUAGGGCAGCGUCCCGCCUACAAGAGGCCUGGACCCGUGAAAGGACCGCUUGGACCCGCGUAGGGGUAGCCUAGAUAGACCUAUCAAAGGGGUGCCGAGACCCGCCUAGGGCCGUUAAGGAGCAGCCUUGACUGACCUAUACCUGCGUAGGGACCACCUACACCCGCUUAGGAGGCCACCUAGACCCACCAAGGGGCUGUCUUGACCCGUCUAAGCCCGCCAAGGGGCUGCCGAAACACGCCUAGGGCUGUCUUGACCGGCCUAGACCAGCGUAGGGACCACCUACACUCGCUUAAGGGUCAUCUAGACCAGUGAAGAGGCUGUUGAGACCCACCUAGGCCCGCGAAGGGGCUACCUUGACCCGCCUUAACCUGCGUAGAAACCACCUAGACCCGCUUAGGGGUCGCCUAGACCCACCAAGGAGCUGCCGAGACCCGUCAAUGAGAUUUUAGCUGAAACCAAGCGAAACUCGUAUACACUAAUUCGAUUGGGGUUUUUGAGUUUUGUCAGUUCGAGAAAUACUUAUUUGUCAUCAUUUCAUAAUAGGAAUCGUUUGGUUGAAAAAUAAGAACAUUCAAUUUUGUCGGAAAAAUUCGUGUGAUAUAGUAAGUGAUUUUGAAUAAAUCAAACAAAACUCGUAUACACUAAUCCGAUUGAGGUUUUCGAGUUUUUUCAGUUCAAGAAGUACUUAUUUAUCAUUAUUUUCUAAUAGACAUAUCAUAGGCCACAUAGACCCGCUAAGAGGCAGUUUAGACCCGCCCAGAGGCCGCAUAGACCCGCAUAGAGGCCACCUAGCUAGACUCGCCUAGAACCGUUUUGACCCGCAUAGACUUUCUUUGACUUGCCUCGAGGCCCCCAAGAUCCUCUUUGAUCCGCAUAGACUUUCUUGGACUCGCCUAGACCCACUUAAAGGCCGCCUUAAUCCACUUGGACCCGCUUCAAGGUCACCUAGACCCGCCUAGUGGUUGCCUAUACCACUUAGGGGCCACUUAUACCACUCAAGGGUCGUCUAGACCCGCUUAGAGACUGCUUAAAGGCCGCUAAGACCCGCGUAGGGACCGCCUGGACCUGCUUAAGGUUACCUAGACCUGCGUAGGAUCGCCCAGACCAGCUAUGAGGCCGCCUAUACCAGCCAAGGGGCCUCCGAGACUAACUAAAGGGCCAUCGAGACCCGCUUAGGGGUAGCGUUGACCCGCCUAUAGACCUACGUAGGGACCAUAUACACCCGUCAAAGGGCUGCUAAGACACAUUUUGGCCCUUCAAGGGGCUGCCUUGACCCACCUAGGGCCGCUUUGACCUCCUUAAGGCCCGUCUUAACCCACUUAGGGGCCGCUUAGACCCACGUGGGGACUGUUUAGCCCCGUUUAGGGACAGCCUAAACCCACUAAGGGGCUGCCGAGACCCGCCUAGGACCGUUAAGGGUCAGUCUUGGCCCGCCGAGGGCUGCCAAUGGAUCGCUUUGACCUACCUAGGGGCAGCUGAGACCUGCCUAGUGUCGUCGAUGGGACAUAUUAACCUGCUUAGGGGCAGCCUUGACCCGUCGGGGUUGUCGAGACCCGCCUUAACUAGCGUAGAGACCACCUAGACUCGCUUAGGGGCCGCCUAGACCCACCAAGGUGCUGUCGAGACCCGCCAAGGGGAUUUUAGCUGAAAUCAAGCGAAACUAGUAUAUACUAAUUCGAUUGGGGUUUUCAAGUUUCGUCAGUUCGAGAAGUACUUAUUUAUCAUCAUUUGAUAAUAGGAAAAAUUUGGUUGAAAAAUAAGAACAUUCAAUUUUGUCGGAAAAAUUCGUGAUAUAGUAAGUCAUUUUGAAUAUAAAUAAAAUGAAACUCGUAUACACUAAUCUGAUUGAGGUUUUUGAGUUUUGUCAGUUCAAGAAGUACUUAUUUAUCAUUAUUUACUAAUAGACAUGCCCAUAGGCUGCAUAGAUCCGCUAAAAGGCAGUUUAGACCCGCCCAGAGGUCGCAUAGACCUACAUAUAUAGAGGUCACCUAGACUUGCCUAGACCCGCUUUGACCGGCAUAGACUUUCUUGGACCUGCCUCGUGGCCCCUAAGAUCCGUUUUGACCUGCAUAGACUUAUUUGGACUCACCUAGACCCACCUAAAAGUCGCCUUAACCCACUUGGACCUGCUUCAAGGUCGCCUAGACCUGCCUAGUGGUUGCUUAUACCACUUAGGGGGCGCUUAUACCACUUACGGGCCGCCUAUACCUUCUUAGAGAUCGCUUAGGGGCCGCCUAGACCUACGUAAGGACCGCCCUGACCCGCUUAGAGGGCACCUAGACCCGCGUUGGCACCUCCUAGACCUGCUUAGGGCCGCCAAGAGGGCGCCUUAACCUGCCUAAGGCGGCUAAAGGGUUACUGAUGGGCCGCCUUGACCGGCUUAGAUGCCGCCGAGAUCCGCCUAAGACCGUCGAGACCCGCCUAGACUUGCUUAGGGCUGCCUAGACCUGCUUACAGGACAUCUGGACCCUCCUAGACCCAGGUAGGGGUAGCUUAGACCAGCGUAGGAACCACCUACACCCACGUAGGGACCACCUACACCCGCUUAGGGGCCACCUAGACCAUCUAAGGGGCUGCUGAGACACGCUUAGACCCGCCAAUGGGAUGCCUUGAUUCACCUAGGGCCGCUUUGACCUUCCUAGGCCCGCCUUAACCCACCUAAGGGGGGGUGAGGUCUAAAAUUUAUGGUCUUAAUCUUAUAUGUCACGUAAUAUAAGUAAAUAAAUAUUUAUUUCCAAUUCUUCAUAAGAUAUCUUGCCAAUGACACUAUGCAUUACCAAUUCUAUCAUUUCUAGCUAUUUCCUUUUAAAUUUAAAGGGGUGAAUCAAUGAUAUUAAUGAAUUUUAUUAGGUAAUGGAAACAAAUAAUAUGUAUUAAUAGUAGCUAUUAAUUAUGUAUAAAUUUAAGAAAUGUUUCUUACAUACUGAAUUAGCUAGUUCACACACAAAUAUAUAUAUAUAUAUAUAUAUAUAUAAUUAGUUUUGUCAAAUAAGCUCAGCCUUAUUUCAAAUAUACUAGCUUUGAUGCACCCGCGCUUCGCGCGUGCUAUCGAUUCAAAUACUUAAUUGUUUGAAUCAGAAAUCAAAUAAUCAAUUAUUGGCAAAUAUAGGUUAGGUCCUUAACCAAAACCCAGAAACACAGAAGUCUAAGACAAAUUAAAGUAGGUAAAGAGAGGCUGGAGGAUAUGUCAAAACAAUGCUGACAAAGUUUUAAUUUGAUUCAUCAAAGAGAAUUCCUUCAUGGUAGCUAUAGGUAAUAAUCACUAAUGGUAGAGUUCGGGAUCUUAAUGUAUAAAACAACAGCCUUCCAUAAAACUGAAGUUUUUGAUCAAAACCGACAUUGACUUUAUUCCCAACUUCAUGAGAAAUUCAUGGUACUCAGGAGUGUAAGAAAAUCAUAUAUCAUCAAUACACUAUACAACCAUUAUAGCUCUAUACAGGUACAUGCAUGUACACCGUCAUCCAGUAUCCUCAUUUCAACACCAAACUUAACAAAAGCAGCAUAUUGGAAAUUAUAAAAUACAAAAAAUGCUAAGUUUGCUAUUGGCUGGUCAAAUUUCUCCCUGCAGGCUAGCUGAAAUAAAGAAUUGUAGUAUUUGCACAUAAGUACAUUACAUCCUAGGCUCUGAAGAAAUGACAAUUGCUUGGGGAAAAUGUAAGGAAGUUCAAUUGCAACCUGAAAAAAAACAUGGACGUCGCAUAAGACAAAAAAGAAAUUUAAUCAGUAAGAUGUAUUUACUCGUAGAACAACUAUGAUAGACGUUUGUUUCAUUUUUCCUGCAUUCAUAUAUGCAUCAUAACUACUCUUCUGCAACAUGAAGUAUAAACAUGUCAUUAUUUAGAAGAUAUGACAAUGUUAUAUAAAUUGUCAAAGAAGUUUUUGUAACUUUUGUAUCAAUUAAGGUAUCUAACAAUCAACAUUCAUCUUCUCAUGCACAACUGAAUUUAAAAACAAAAAUUUGAUGAGUGCUAGUUCAGCUUUCAUUCUGUGAAUAUCACUGUCACUUACCCUAACAACUCGUAGUCGGUUCGAAUGCACAACAGUAGCUAUCAUCUAACCCAGAGCUGAAAGUUUCCGUAACUGCUCCAUCUUGUUAGACAAAGGUGAAAGUUUCCACAACAUGAGAAUUAUGAAAUUCAUUACAUUGCAUAUAAGUUUCAACAAAACAAACUGGAAACCAAUAGGGAAAAAGGGGAGUUCAAUUGCAACAACAGUGAAGAAAAAGGUCACAAACAUGAUCAAUCAAAAAGCUGCAAACCAAAAAUAUGUACGAAGACAAAAGGUCCCUUUUUCAUACACAAAUAAAAAAGGGCAGCUGAUGGUUCAAAAUUGAACCCAGAUAAAUAAAAGAAUGAGGUAACAGCCAGUAAAGGCAUCAAUCUAUCAUGUUCCAAAAUUUGAAAUUCAACAUGCAUCUGUACUUGUAAUAUUCAUAUGUCUGUAGUGCAUUAAUCAGAAAUUAACCUGCAUAAAACGUCCCAGUGAGAUUUUGGAGCACAGCCGCAGCAUGUUCUCCCUUCCUUGAACUGAAUGUACAUGUUACCAAUCUAACACACACACACACUCACACUCGAAGACAGUGUGCGGGCCCGCGUGCACACACAAUUAGUCAAACAAAUUAUGCCUAUACUAAAGAUCAAUUACGAAUUCAUUCUUCAUUUUGGUAAAACACUGAAUACAGAGAAAGAAACAUACUAUGUGAUGAGCAAAAUUAUCAUAGAUAUUCAAGCACCAAAAAAACAUACUAUGUGAUAAGGGAAAUUAUCAUAGAUGCUCAUCAAGCUCUCACAGUGUCAAACACAACUUCUCAAUUAGAUCCUUAGAGAAAUCCUGCAAACAAAAACCGCAUCUCUAUUAAUAAACAAUUCUCGUUUGGAUAGGAAUAGACAUCUUGUAGAAAGCGGCUAUCAUUUGGAAUGUGAAUUUUUAACACUCGAUGAUCACUGCCAAAGUAGCAAGUAAACUGACUAAACUAAUGCCCAAAGAAUGUCGAACAUGCACUGUGGACCACCAUUUGGACCACCAUGAAUACUUGAAAACUAAACCAAAAUAUAAGUGCCUAUGAAUGAAAAAAAGAAAAUCAAUGUCCAAUACCAAUAUGAUUUGCAAUGACUUGAAUGAAAGAUAAAAUGAAGAAAUCAUAGACGACUACCUAUAUGGACGUGCUAUGAUUUGGUUAUGCUAUGAUUUGGAGCUUCUAGGAAUUUGUUGUCCCUAUUGUUUGAGGAAAACAAAUAGGGGAAUUACUGCUUCUGGAUCAAAAUCAAGGUACCACCAGCUCUUUUUUUUCCAAUAUGCAAAUACACAGUAUAUCAAUACAACCAACACAUCAAGUUGAUCACCACCAAAAUUGAACACACCUAAUAUUUUAAUAAGAAGAAAGUUGUACAAAUGAAAAAAGGUGAAGAAGUAUCCACUUCAAAAGCCCAAAAUUAGAUAGAAUUAAAAGUCUUAACAUCAAUAGACACAAUUUUGAUGCUAACCCAUGAUAUAUACCACUGACAAUUUCAAAGCCUUGCAUCAAAAAAACAUAAAAAUUACUGAAGAAAGCGAGACCAACACAAUAGCAGCAAUAGCAAAUUCCAAUAUCAAAAUGAAGCACAGAUACAAUAAGUACCAAAGUAAAAUGAAACAUCACCAAAACCCAUUUGACUCAUCUAGAUGAAAACAUCAAUGCUCAAAAGAGUCGAUGACUGACAUUUUAGGAACCCUAAUACAAAAAAAUUAUCUGGGUAUGUGCCAAAACAGUAAGAGAGUCAUUCACCUUUAGUCGCAGAACUUGUGAUUUCAAUCAGAUUGGAUCAAAAUCAUGGAGUCUCUUCACGAAGUUUCUUUUUAUCGGUUUGUGGGAGCAGAAAGAGAGCAAGGGAGGGAGAGAGCUUCGUUCUAGACUGAGCCACUGAGGAGAGCGAUGAGAGACGAAAUUGACGAACCCAACAUAAGAAUCCUAAAACCCCAUCAGUCGGUGGAAAGUUAUAAACAGCGGUGUGUGAGUGAAGUUAGUAGAUGAACUAACACUUUCUGUUCUUUCUAGGUUUUCUAUUCUUUCUGUUCUCUGUGUUCUUUCACGGCGGUGUGUUUUGGACGUGGCUUUUUGUGAUUGAAACGUGGCAUGCUCAAAUAGGUACAGCCAACAGGUAGGCAAAUAUAGUCUUCCAAUUUUAUAUAUCUCUAUUAAUUAAGGCAAUUUGCCUUAUGAAACUGCAUUUGGUUAAAUUUUCAUAAACCUAUAAAUUACCCUUCUUCUAAAUUAAACCUAUCAACUCAGAUUACAUUAAAAAAAGGCUAAAACAGUAAACAACCAAAUCAAAACUAAAUAAAUGUUUAAUUAAUAGAGAACCAAAACCACCAACAAAGAGAAUUCUACGGAACCUAAGAAGCAGUUCAUUUAGGAUAACAAUGUCAAAAUUCAAAACAAAUCAGUUGUUCAGUUUAAGUCUUCCUCAUCUAUCUUCCGGUCCCUAUCUUCCUCCUCUCUACGUCUCCCAACUACUCACCUUCUCCAGGAAAAAAAACCCUCUUCAAACUUUUCUCACUCUCUGCUAACAUGUUGGCUCAAACUGGUGAAUGUAUUGCUCAGUGUGACCUCCCGAAAUAGUUUGUUAAAGAGGUCAGUGCUACAAGAAGAGUUGCUCCUGUGUAUCAUGUCAUUGCUUCAGUGUAUGCUGUAAUAGGUUUUUUUUGUUUGUGGCUCUUUUAGGGUAGGAAGCAUAUAGUACUACACCUAAUAAUAAUCUCAUAUAUCUCUGUUCUUCUUUGUACAGUUCGCUCGAAGGGAUUCUUGGUAAAUGUCUCUUGCAUCCAGGAAAGAAGAGAAUUGUGAGAAGUAAUAUGGUUUGAUUCAGAAAGGAGUCACAAAGGUAAAGCUUUGAUUAUAUUAUGGUUCCUAUCUAGAUUUUAUUUCUAAACUUAAUAUUGAAACCAAAGGGUCGUAACUGAAAAAGGAUCAUUCUAUUCAUAUGAUUUUGGACAACCGUGUUGUAAACAACUUAAUUUAUAGCUUAUGUCUCUUCUGUGUCGUCAAGUUUAUGAUUGAUACCAAAACUAUUUAUACUUGAUAUGUUAUCACAGAAUGGCAACUGUGUCUCUUAAAUGUAUUCUUCCUUCGUAUUUGUUUUUUUUUGUUCUUAGUUUCUUAUGUCUCUUCUGUGGGUUAUCUAAUUACAGUGUAAGCUAACUCUUUCGACCAUUAGAACAUCCAUCUCUUUUGAUGUGUGCUAACUCAAAAGUUUUUAAUUCUCUCUUAUUACAGUUGAAAAACAGACACAAAGACCAAGUAUGAAUCUUCAUUUCUUUAUGUCUUUAUUACUGUGUUCAGAAUAUAUAUGCACCUUUAGUUCCUUUUCCCACUAUUGAACGUGUGUACAUCUACCGUUUGUUUUCUUGAUGACAAAUUUUUGAACUCCAAACACAGGAGCCUUCUUGCUCUCUCUAUAUUGUCAUCAAGCCAAACGCAUAGAAAAUAGAAGCAUAUAUAAAAGGUAUGCUAAUAUGAUGGAUUGUAAUAGUGUAUUCCUUUGAUUCCUCAAAUUUUCCAUAAGAUGGCUUUUAUUUGCCUUAUUUUUGUGCUUCGAAUGUUUAGUUUAAUAUGCAGUAUAUUUUCCUAUUUAUUGGUUUUAUGAUAUUGGCAGGGUGAUCAAGUCGAAGCCAUUGAGCCAAUUCGUGAGGUUCAAACUGACAAAGCAAAAGCACUGACAGAGUAAUAAGACCUCACCCCUUCUUAUCCCUUCUUUUCAUUUUAAGUACCAUUUCAAAGCUGUUUGACGAUGUUUAAGUAACUUUGUGAUGUUGUAAAAUCACAUGCAGACUACAAAUUAUGUAAAUCAUGUGUCUUAUUGCUUCACUUUGUCUUCAGUAACUAUCUCUGUUAACCUUCUCUGCGUAUUCCCUCUAUGUUAAGCUUCUGCACGCUAUCAGUUUAAGGUUCCUAUAAACUUUGUUAACUGUACAAUACUUAUUACGUCCUAAUAACUCAAUCUGUUUGUAUUUGCUUAGAGUUGGUAUGCCGUAAUCAUUGUAGCAACUGAAAAAUCAGAGAUGUUUCAGUUGAUUGUUGGUGCCCUGAACUACAUCCAGAGGCCUAAAAUAGAUGAACAUAGACUCAUUUUGAACUGAUGAUAUGGCAAAAUAAGCAAAAUAAUAGUUAUUCCCCCUUGGUGAUAUGUACAAAAUCAAACCAACAUAAUUAAUCAUGGAUAUACAAUAGGAGGUGGCAAUGAUGCAGUGACAGACCAACUCUACUAAUUAAUAUAGGAGAUAGCUUUUAUUUUCUUCCUAUAAUUACAUUUCUGCUAUAUCAAAACUUUGUUUCAGUCUCUCACAAGUCAUAACCUUAUCCUUCUAUCCCAGGGAAAAAAAAAUCAAUGGAUAGAGUUAGGAAGCAAAUGUAUUGUGCUGUUGCGUUGUAAUAUACAACUUCCUCCCCACAAAUAUAGCCUCAAAUAACCGUUAUUGGUUCUCUGUUAUCCAUGAUGAGUAUGGUUCAACCGUUUACAUGCUAAAUCUAUGGCGGUUUUCAUGUCACCUUUUCAAUAUGGCAAAGAGGGUAUACCAUCGAUCCCACGACCUACAAAUUGGUUGUUGCGUUAAGAAAGAAAAUCGCCAUUAAAAAUUUACUCACACCAUGACAUGUAUAUACAAAAAAUUGGUGCAUUACAUUUAACCCUGUUAUUGACACAUCAGUUUAGUCUAAACUCUUCUAUUUAAAGGUUCUUUAUCAUUUCUGAUGUACUUUUUCUUUUUUUCUUUUUUUUGGGUGUAUAUCGUUCUAUAAUGUAAAGUUACGUGUCAUUUAGCUUUUUUGGAUAUAAAUCAGUCACUAUAAUGCUUUAGACUUUUAGACUCCAGUUUAAGAACAAUAGGGAAGAAAUUACCGCCACCAAAGACACUGAAAACAUAUGGGAGCAUUAAAAACUUACCAAAAAAUAGACAAAGAAAAGGACAACCAUGCAGAGAAACUACAAGACUUCUAUUGCGAAAUUAGGGCUUCUUUGGUGUUAGGAUACAUGUAAGAGCUAUGCUGAGAAGGAAUAUAGGGUUUAUUCUGUUAAAUAUGUUUUAUGUUGUGAAUAGUUACUAGCUUUCUGCAAGUGCAACGGUUUUUAAAUAUAUAAUAUUUCAUGAAAAAAAAAAAACACAUUCUUUGUAAUCUUUGUGGCAGGAACAAACGCCAAACACUAAUGGAGCGUGCACGUGAUCAACACCGACAAUGGCGAGAGUCAAUGUGCCCUUCCGAACGCGAUGCCUAUUUAGAAAGACGUCGCGCAAUAGCUCGAGGAAAACGACCAAGGGUGGAAAAUGAACCCUCAGAACCAACAGAAUAGAAUUCAGGUAUUUAUUUUUUCAUAUUAACUUUUAGCAUGUUGUUGCUUUAUUAUAUGUUGCUUAAUUAAUAGAGGUAUAUACCUCAAUACAAAAACAGCAUGUUAGUUGCUUUGCUAUAUAUUACUUAAUUAAUAGAGAGAGAUACCUCAAUACAAAAUCAGCAUGUUAAUAAUCACACCAUGUAAUAACCGGCUAAAAACUCAAUUUGCUAAUUAGUUUUUGUCAAUAGAUGAAAUUAACAACGAGGGCACAAAUUCAAGAAUUGCUUCAAUUACGAACGAGCAACAACAAGACUAUGCUCGAGCUAGAUUGACACACAUCAGACAGCUAGCCCGUUCGACUGCAUCACGUGCAAGUGAUGCAGAUGUCCGACGUUAUGCUCUCUAUGGUGAGUCGUAUAUAAAAAUUAAAUGCAAGGUGUUUUACACAUAAAAAUGCAAAAGUUAUCUAAUAAUACACAUAAUAAUUGUGUUGUGUCAUUAGAAGAAUCAGACAAUGAAGGCACAAGGUCAAGAAAUACAUCAAGCUCCAACAACCAACAACAUGUCCCUUCACGAGUUCGAUUAACUCACAUAAGGCAGCUAGCCUGUUCAAAUAGGUCACAUGCAAAUGAUGGAGUUGCCCCGUAUUCUACUCGCUACGGUGAGCCUAAUAAAUUAACCUCAUUAGUCGUAAUUAAUAGAGAUGUGUCUGUAUUUUAAAAAACAACUUUUAACAAAAUUAAAUUAAUUUGUUUCACUUAUAUCCAGAGUUACCUAAUUCUACCAUGAAUAAUCACGAGGAGAAUACAAACAAUGUGGCAACGAAUAAUGAUGAUGCACACACCAACUACACUGAAACUGUGAAUAUCAAUGUACUCCCAGUGAGUGUGGAAAUUGUCAUCAGGCGCGACACAAUAAUGUUCAUCGAGUACCGCGAAUGAGACGAGAGUGCAUUCGCCACAAUUCAGCGAGAGAUUUCCAUGAAGAAAGAGGGGUCCAAGAUUGUCACUUGCCCUCACCAACAAUAUGCCCAUACUGCACAUCAUGGUUAUUCCAUCGAGAGACCUUCAGUUUGUGUUGCAUGAAGGGAAAUAUUGAUUUACCUCUAAUAGAGUCUCCCCCUGAAAUGGUCCGACUAUUUUCUGACCAAACUGAUGAGAGUAAAAAUUCAAACAAAAUAUUAGAGCCUACAACAACGUGUUUGCAUUCACUUCAAUGGGUGUACAUCUUGAUGAAAGAAUUAAUGUCCAAGGUCGUGCACCUUAUACCUUCCGUGCUCAAGGUUCUAUAUAUCAUAAAAUCGGUGGUCUGGUACCGGCUGAUGGGAGAAGACCACGGUAUCUACAGGCUUAUAUAUACGACACCGAGCAUGAGCUUCAGAAUCGAUUGUCUGAAAGUGAAGUUUUAGAGAGGGGUAUAGUGGAAAAAAUUCAACAGUUAAUCAACACAAUCCCUUUGUUCAAACAUUUCGAAGUCUGGGACAGCGUCAAGAUUUGCCUAAUUGUAGGCUCAUCAUAAGAGAACAACCUUCUGAUCGUCACCAAUACAAUUUACCAACUGCAUCACAAGUUGCGGCUGUUAUAGUAGGAGGUGAUGACAUCAAUCCAAAUGGAAGAGAUUUCAUUGUACAAACAAUAAGCGGAUGACUUCAGACUGUCAAAGACUCGGUUAGAUAUUAUGAUCCAAUGCAGUAUCCAUUAUUAUUGCCUUAUGGAACAUAUGGAUGGGACAUCAAUAGUCGUGGAAAUAACGGAAAGGAAAUGACAUGUUGCGACUACUACGCAUAUAUGUUACAGGUUAGUUAUAUGUCCACUUUAAAUUUGAAAACAAAAGGGCUACGAGAGGAUAAAAUAUUUACUUUAAAAUCUUAAUUUUGUAGAUGCGUCAAGGUCAAGAAAAUCCUCUACAUCGAGGAGGGCGUCUCUUACAACAGUAUGUUGUAGAUAAUUAUGUAAAAAUUGAAUCACAAAAGCUCAGAUGGUUUCGUAAUAAUCAAGACAAAUUUCGGACAGAUGUUCGUCAGGGGCUUGAAGACUCUCUACAUGCAGGAGAAAACAAUGUAGGUUUGACUUCGUAUUAUAUUGGAUAUUAUAGCAUCUUAUGUAUAGUACGUGUAAUUUUUUAUUUUAUUGAAGACUGAUUUUAUUAAAGAUUAUUAAAGACAAACAUUAAAAAUAACAUCACAUAUGACCAGGUAACGUUGGUCGUAGAACAAUUUUACCAUCAUCAUUUAUUGGAAGCCCACGUGACAUGUACCAGCGAUAUCAAGAUGCAAUGGCUUUGGUUCAAAAAUAUGGGAGGCCAGAUCUUUUUAUCACCAUGACAUGUAACCCUAAUUGGGAAGAAGUUAAAAGUGAACUGCUCCAAGGACAAGUGCCACAAGAUCGUCCCGAUCUGGUGACUAGAGUAUUUCAUGCAAAAUUAGAGCAAUUGAAAGAAGACGUAAUAAANNNNNNNNNNNNNNNNNNNNNNNNNNNNNNNNNNNNNNNNNNNNNNNNNNCCGUGCAGUCCCUUGAGGUGGCUGCCGAGGUAUGCUACUCCUCCCCUAGUCCAAUUCUCUUUUCAUCUAACAAGUUUCUUCCUUCCAUUGUCCAAGCUCCAAAAUUAGAUCUCAAGGUUCUUCCGGAACAUUUGAAGUAUGUGUACUUGGGAGAGAAUGAAACAUUGCCGGUUAUCAUGUCAUCAUCAUUAGAGAAGAAGCAAGAGGAGAGAUUGAUCGAAGUUUUGAAGAGACACAAGACGGCCAUAGGGUGGACCUUAGCCGACAUCAAGGGAAUUAGCCCUACAAUGUGUGUUCAUCGAAUUUUGCUUGAAGAUGGAGUAAAACCGACCAAGGAGGGUCAACGACGUCUUCAUCCACCUAUGAUGCAAGUUGUGAAGGAUGAGGUGACAAAGUUGCUUGAUUGUGGAGUCAUCUACCCAAUUUCGGAUUCAAGGUGGAUUUCACCGGUUCAAGUUGUGCCAAAGAAGAGCGGAAUCAUGGUGGUGAAGAAUGAUGAAAACGAGCUUGUGCCGCAAAGGACCGUUACCGGCCACCGAGUGUGUAUCGAUUAUAGGAGGCUCAAUGCAACAACAAGGAAGGAUCACAUGCCAUUGCCAUUCAUUGAUCAAAUGCUUGAGAGGUUAGCCGGUCAUUCCUUCUAUUGUUUUCUUGACGGUUAUAGUGGUUACAAUCAAAUAAGUGUUGCGGAAGAGGAUCAAGAAAAGACAACGUUUACAUGUCCCUUUGGCACUUUUGAUAGUUAAGGGCUGCCUAAGCCCUAGACGUGUGUAAACCAAGAUUUUGGUGUUGAUUUUAUAGUUUUUUGGAUAUUGAAUGUUUGUUGAUUCAUUGGUUUCUCAUUUGAUCAAUUAUGGUUUCGUUUAUUAUGGUUGCAAACGUAGUAAGCAUGCUAGAGUUUUAUUGCUAUGAUUUUGUGUUUUGAUCAUCAUGUCAAGCAUAUUAUCUAGAGUAGCACAUGAGUGAUUGUGCCCCAUUUAUAUGAAUUGGCAUCUAGGUAGAUUAGGACAACAUCAGUACCAAAAUUGCCUAGCUUUAUUCAUAAUCUUUUCGAUCUUACUGAUUUCUAUGUGUGAGAUGUGCAAGAACAUCACUCUAGGUUCCAUGUUAGAAGCUAGGUUAAGUUGAAAACAUCAUUCUCUUAACAUACCAAGUAAGAAAUUAAGGUUGAUAGGUUAAGUUCAACAAAUCAUUGGCUUAGCUUGGGUAAAGACAUUCAAUUGAAUAGAAGCAUAUAGGUUAACAAAUCUUUGGUGAAAUAUGUUUUAGUGGGGUGUAUGGUUGUUCCUAGCAUAACUAAAGUGUAUAGGAUUUUAGAGUUUGACAUAACUAAAUAACAAUUAAAAAAAUCCAAACAUUGGUUUUGCCUGCAAAAAAGGGCGCAAGUUCUUUAUCCUUCAAGUACGCGGCCCAAUUUCUCUGGUACCUGCAUCAACAUGCAAAUCUUUCAAAAGGAGAAUAGCCAAAUCACUCAUCAUAAUGCAUUAUCUCUCUCUCUCUCNNNNNNNNNNNNNNNNNNNNNNNNNNNNNNNNNNNNNNNNNNNNNNNNNNAUACGAAAUUGGAAGGUUCUUGGACGCAUAUACAGCGUGUCACCAUCUGAAAGUGAGAAAUUUUACUUACGUGUUCUUUUGAAUCAUGUAAGAGGUCCAGAAUCAUUUUUGGACUUGCUUAUUGUUAAUGGUGCUUUACAACCAACAUUCAAGCAGGCAACAGAGAACCGAGGUUUGCUUGGAAAUGACAAUAGUAUUCGAAUGUGUCUAGCGGAGGCAUCUGCAAUAAGGAUGCCAUUAGCUUUGAGGAGAUUAUUCGUGACAAUUUUGGUGUAUGGGGUGCCAGCUGGUGUUUGAGCAUUGUGGGAUGAAUUUGCGCAUUUUAUGAUGGAAGAUUAUACUUCAUCUAAUGAUGUUGCAAACAGAAACAGGCUCUUACGAGACCUAAAUAGAAUAAUUCAACGGUUUGGCAAGAACAUUAGAGAUUAUGACCUCCCUCAAUUGACCGGUGAGCCAGAAGAUAAUAUAGGAAUGCCGAGAUGUAUUGAAGAUGAACUUUUUAUCGAUGUCCCUUAAGAAGAUAUUGAUGCAAUUGAUCAUCUUAACAAUGACCAAACGGUUGCCUUCAACACCAUAAUGUCUGCUGUGGAUGGAAAAGAAAGUGCUUUGUUUUUUGUUGAUGGUCCUGGAGGUUCAAGAUUCCCUUUUAAAGUACUACCUUCAUCCAUGUGUUCCAUAGGUAAACAGUCUUCACUGGCGCAAUUGGUACGAGAUUCCAUUGCAAUUAUAUGGGAUGAGGCACCUAUGACAAAUCGAGAUGUCUUUGAAUUAGUUGAUCGAACUUUUCAGGACAUAAUGGACGUGGAACUUCCUUUUGGUGGUAAAAUAAUGAUUUUUGGGGGAGAUUUUCGUCAAGUCCUUCCUAUCAUUCCUAAAGGAACAAGGUCUCAACUCAUCGAAACCUCGAUUAUGAGAUCAUCGUUUUGGCCAGAUACAAGGAUAUUGAGACUGAGGCAGAAUAUGAGAUCCAUAAAUGACCACCGAUUUGCAGAUUUUCUAUUAUGUGUUGGCGAUGAGAGUGAACAAGUCAUACAUGAUGACAUGAUAAGAUUACCAGAAAGCAUGGUGAUUCCUUGGCAAAGCGACCAAUCUAUCUUUCAAAUUAUUGACAAAGUUUUCCCAAAUCUUGGUGAUCACGUAGGAGAUGCAAGAUACAUGGUGGAUAGAGCAUUGAUCACUCCUUUGAACGAUGAUGCAGACAUGUUGAAUGAAAAGAUGAUCAGUAUGUUUCCUGGUGAAGAAAUUACAUUUUACUCAUUUGACUCUGUUGAAAAUGACAUCCGAAAUCUGUACCAGCCAGAGUUUUUAAAUUCAAUAACCGCAAGCGGUUUACCGCCGCACAAGUUAACUCUGAAAACAGGUGCUCCAAUCAUGCUCUUGAGAAAUAUAGACCCAAAAUUAGGGUUGUGUAACGGUACUAGAUUGUUAUGUCGUGGUUCCUACCAAAAUUUGAUUGAUGCAGAAAUUAUGACAGGCGAGUUUGUUGGGGCUAGAGUUUUUUUGCCCAGAAUUCCUUUGCAAAGUGCAGAAAAUGCGGGGCUACCAUUUCAACUUACAAGAAAGCAAUUUCCAGUCAAGUUGAGCUUUGCUUUGACCAUAAAUAAAUCUCAAGGUCAAACCAUCCCACAUGUGGGAUUUUACCUCCCAGAUCAUGUUUUUAGUCAUGGACAAUUAUAUGUGGCAUUGGCAAGAGGAGUAUCAGAGUCUACCACAAAGGUGUUAGUUAAAAAAGGGUCCAUAGUUGGUGAAGAUGGCGUAUUCACUAAGAACGUCGUGUUUAAAGAAGUUUUGCUUCAUUAGUCCACCAAAAAUGAUAUGUCGUUCAUAGGUACUUCAUUCAGUAAAUCAAAUUAAUUGCAGUGCUUAGCUUUUAAUUGUUAUGUUUAACUUUUUGAAUUUUUUCUUAUUUGUAGAAGUACUGCGACAUGGAAGCUCUCAACUACAGAAGACUCUACAAAUAGACGACGGCUUUAGGCGACAUGUUUCUUUAUUUUCAUGUGGUUGGCGCAAGGGAAUAUCAAUGACAGUGAACACCGUUGAUCUCAGUAAUCUGAUUCUAAAAGAGUGGAAGAAAAAGAAACAAGCACAGUUUGUACUCUUAAACUCUUUUUUAUUUUCUUUCACUUUUAGGUAUUGUUACUAAUUGAAAUUCUUAUAGUUGGAAGUACAAAAAUGCACGUAGGGAAUUGAUGACACAUGACAUUUCUCACAUUAAACAAACUUGGAGAAAGGUUCUGCGUGUUAGGUAUUCAACACCAUCUAUUCAAGAUCUAUUUAUUUGUUAUUUUUAUUGCAUGCAUCUUCAACAUUCACACAAGUUUUCUUGACUUUUAUUUUCAUGCUCACCAACUGGAUACAUAUGUUUACAGGAAGCAAAAACACAAUGAGCAAUACUCCUUUUUAGUUAAGGUAUUGUAAUUUCACUUAGAAUACUUAACAUUAAACCUUGAUACAUAAGCAUGCAUUAUGACAUCUCCCUCUCCAUAUUUACAAGUUUUUCUUUACAGUUUGACAACCAGCGUCUUGAGAAGUUGAAGCGUAAUAUUGAGGUGAUAAUAUACAUAAUGAGUUGUUUCAUAUGAUCUAUAUACUUAGUUGAAUUAAUUUAACGCUUUCAUUUUACCACAGACCUCUUCUGAUAAUUGGAGCAGGGGUAUUGCAACAAGUGAAUUAUCUAAAUUCAUGGUAAGUUGCUCAGUGUACCAAUAUCUUACUGUUUAAAGUGAAAACUUUGAGAUUCACUGUCUUAUUGAUUUUUUUCCUACUCUGAAUUUAUAGUUUAACCAACGAUGGUUGACAAAUGAAUGGCUGAGAUGGAGUUGAUCGGAGCAUGUGGACUUGAUUAGUCUUUCUUUAAAAUUCAUUUUCAAAAACAGUUUUAUAACUGUCAUUAUUAAAAUAAACUUUAAUAAGUAGACAGCCAUCAAAAUUUUCGGCGUUCUGUAAUUUGCUACAUUUUUAAAAAAUGCACCCCUUUCAUCUUCAACAAAUUUCAUAAUUUAUUUUAAUAGACAAUUUCAAUGCCUUUUUUCACUAUAAAUGAAUGUUAAUAAAAAAGACUAUUACAUGUCAAAUGAUACAAUAAUGUAGUGUGAAUUAUAUGAAGCAAAAUAUAAAAAGACGAACAUUGCAUGCAUUGAUAAAAGAAAUGUUAACUAAUGUUAAAAACGUUAAAAAAAUUAAAAGCACGCGCGAAAGGCUAGUAUAAUUUAUAAAAAAUUGUGGACGGGUGGGUGCGGGUAUUGUUCAUGUGAACAGUAACUCAUGCACCCGCCUCGCUUAAUAUAUAGAGAUUUGUAUUUUUCCUGAUGUAUUUACUUCUUCUAAGUUUUCUAUUUCGUAUAAACAAAUAAAUAAAACCAAAAACUUCUCUCUAACAACCGCCACUCAACCCUAGAGAGCGAGAGAGAAUACACAGAGCUUUUUCGCUUGUCUGGCUGCACCUCGUCGCCAUUGACGGCCUCCGGCCUAGCCGGCGUACACGGGGUACGGCCAGACGGGAUCGGUGGGUCGAUUCUUCAUUCAAGAGGCGAGGAUUAGCGCAGGUUGGUUCUUUUUCAGUCUAAGAACAGGAGGAGAACCUCGCAUUGAGAAGAGGUCGCCGAGCCAGUCCAUCGACUCCCCCAUAGUUGAGACGAGAGAGAGAUGAGCGAAGAGCUCCUUCUCAAUCGAACUAUCAAUCAAAGCUGCCGCUAGCAGGAAAUAGCCAUUACUGAGCAAACCCUAGCCCUCUCGAAAGAGAGAGAGGAGAGAACAAUUUUUUACCAAAUCUAUGAAAUGAUAACUUGAUUUGCAUCAUUGCAUAAAUUAAUUAAUUCGAAUAUACUUAUAUACUCGACUCCAAGUGUUUAUUAACAAUUCAAGAAGUGCUGAACGAAAUAAUAUGUAGAAUAUAGAUUGAGUUAACGUAUUGUACAUAGUUGUUCCCUAAACUAAUAAUGGUCGUGAAAAUAUAGUAAUGAAUGGCUUCCAACAAGGAAGGCCUACAUGCAUGAAAGAACCUGUCAAAGAAAUUCGAUGUCAUCUUUCCAAGCAAAUAUACGCAUCAGCUGGCAUCAGCUAGCUGAAAAGUUCAAAGCAGCUUUUCUUUAUAGUGAACUGGAAAAUGCAUGAGAUCUUGUUAUUCUUUCUUUGAAAGAUUCCAACUAGCUAUUAAGAAACUAAACUAGCCGUUAAGCAAACAUUGACCAACUGGAUCGGAGACACCAUGAUUGAUUUGAGAACAGCUCGAAGGGGCUGAAACAAAGCUAUUAUACCAAAACCGUUUGAGAGAGAGCAGCAUAUGUCGAUUUGGCCCUCUUUUUUAAUUGAGUGCCGUUGCGAAAAGAGACGCGAUCGAUGACGACGAAGAAGAAGCUAGACUUGGUUAGCAAGAUGCCAAGUUCUGCCCAAGCAUUUUGUUUCUUUAAUCAUGUGUGUUCAACAAGAAACCACUGUACGUUCCUUUACAAAAAAAAAAACAAGAAACCACUGUACGUUGAUUGAUUAGGGUCAAUAUUGUAACUGUAACUAUAUAUAUGUAUCAUGAGAAUUCUCCUCUGAAAAAGAAAUUGUUAGGGUUUUGUUUAUUGGCAAAAAGUUCAAACAUAGCUUUUAUUGGAUUAUUCAUGUCGAGGAAGUCAUGUAUAUGGUGUAGGUAGAGCUACGAAUGUUUUUACCGGAUCUAUGGCGGGUUCAUAAUCUUAAAUAUAUGCGAAAUUUAUUGUUUUAUUUGAUUACAUGCGUAUUUAAUUUGAUGAUUUUUAUAUGUAAUUUAUUUAAUAUUCGUAUUGUAUUGUGAUGAUUUAUCUAGUGUAAGAGUAUUUGUAUAGAUCCUAAUCGUUCUAUAAAGUAUAAACGACUUUACUUUCACGUUAAGUCAAAACGUUAGGUUUUCUGUUCAUAAAAAUUAAAUAAAAGAUGAACAAAAUUACGUAUAUAUGAUGAUACUCAUAAGUUAGAUGUUUUGUAAUUUUUUUCUAUGAAAUAUUGUACUUGUCUUAUCUUUUAUCUCUAACCAGUUGAGCUAGGCUGUCAAGUAGUUAAAGAAGCUAGGCAUCUAAUUCUGUUUGGUGAGUAGCAAGUUUUUUAUUUUAUUUUUUAUUAUAAUUUUUUAUUUUUUAUAUGCAUGGGCUUCUUCUUCUUUCUUCAUUGCUCAUUGUUCAGAAAUUGCCCUACUAAUUCAAAAGCGAACAACUAAGCUAUUUGCCAAUUUCCUACUCCACAAUUAGAAUCAAACAAUCAAGACUUUCUUGCUGUAAAAUAAUCAAAAUGCCCCUUAUAAGCUAGAUUAUUCUUCCCCUAAGCUUUGCCAAAUCCCAGAAAUACCCUCCUCUCUAGCUACUUCGGCCAGCAUUCCCAUUACCAGCUCAGCUCAGCUGCAUCACCUUCUUUAUGAAGAAACCAAAGCCAAGCACACACCAACCUCUUAAAUUCCUCCAUUUGUAUAUAUACCACCACCAUCUCAGUCUCACCUUCUUAACCUCAUCGAAACACACAUAUAUGAUAUAUUCCUUACCCUAAAAACAGCAACAAACACAGAUAUCGAUCGAGCUACAGAGAUUGAUCAACAACGUCGUCAUGGAAAACAGAGAAGUCAGAGAACUACGAGAGGUUUUUGACAGACUGGAGAAGAGCUGCAGCUCGAGCAGCUCCAAGUCUUCGUCGACGUCGAGGAAGACGUGGUCGUUAAAGAAGGUGAUCAGCAAGGAGCUGUGGCCUAGGAAAUUCUCGUCCGUGUUCCGGUGGAAGCGCGUCGACUUGCGUCUGAGCAUCAUCGACGACGUCGUCUUCAAGAUACUCUCCGUCGUGGAGGCUGUCGUUCUUGUCUCUACUUUAUGCUUCUUCUUCCUCUGCUGCGGUUGCCACAUCUGAUAUCGAUGCCAGCUAUAGUUCAUUUCAUUUCAUUCUUAUAGUUUCUUAAAUCUUACUUCGUCUUAAUUAGUUAAUUACUUGUUCCGCUGCUGAUCGAUUAUAUCUAGGCCUAGCCUUCUGGUAUUAUUCUGGGUUUAUUUUAUGGUGUUAUUGCUUUUGUUGCCAAAAUUGGGCAUAGCAAGCAUGUCAUGUAAAAACUCAUUCAUUCUGAAAAUAAGAUGAGCUCUCUCAAUCUGCAAUUAUUAAUUUAUGAUCUGAAUCAUCUGAUUAAUCUGUUCUUUCAUCAGUCUCUCAAUUCAAAAUUUCAAGUUUAGAGAAGGUUAAUAUCAUGACGAUAAGUCGUCAAUGCUUUCUUUUGCUCAAAAAAUUAGACCCUGACCCAACUACCCACCAAAUCGAUCAGUAUCAAACUGGAAACCAAAGUUGUUGUCAGUAAACAGCUGAUACAUGCGUACAAGUUUCUUACUAGAAGAUCUUUUCGUCCAAAACAAUCGAACAAAGAAAAUGAACUAAACAUAGUAAUAGAGCAAAACUAAAUAAUCAUGACCAAAACCAAACUGUAUAUAAAUGACAAAAUUAGAAAGUUUUUACUUUCUACCACACAGUCGUUGUUUGAUAUAUUCAUAAUCUUUUUACGACGUAACCAACCAUAUGUUUUCCGAUACUAGAAAUGAAACAAGGUUAAAGAGCCAUUCCUAGAACAACCUGAACUCAAACUCUCAUUUUGUUGAUCUCAAUGUGUGUAUGUUGUUCUUUAAAAUGAAGUACGAAUGUGUCACACCAAGAUCAUCACAUUAUAAAAGUAGGUGCAUUGAGCAUAUCAAGAUCACUCGCUAUCAUCAAAACACUAAUAUGGUAUGACUUCUCAUUUUUGAGUGGAGAUAAAUCAUAAAAGUCUCUUUCAAAUGAAAGUUAUUAAAAGUCAUGACCUCAAACCAAAUAGUUUACCCCAAUCACUUUAUUUUACUCAGAUAUGGCAUGAAACAAAUUUUCUAGCUUGCUGAUUCAAACGCAGAUAUCAGUAACUCUACCUUAGUUGUUGUCUGGCAGAAUAGGCUUCCGUCUCUCUUCCACCACAACUUUCAAUUCCGAUUUCUAUGAUUUUGUGAUUUAGGUUGUAUUAUGAGUUCUUCUUUGUAAUUUUGUUGUUUUUCUUUAUUGAAAAAAAAAAAACUGUUUGGACCACUGGGCCGGAUUCCCUUGGGCUUGGUCUACAUUUGGGCCAAGUAGCUCAUUCCACAGGUCCAGAUUCAUAAGAAAAGUAAAGCAAAAAGCAACUUAACUAGAAGAGGAGUGUCUCUCCAAACCGGGUCAGAGAAAACAUGGCUCAUUCUCCAGCCUCCACCGCCUCUCCACUCCAACGCCUCUCCACCUUCAAAGCCACAACCACCACCCCCUCCGCCGCGUCCCCACUCGAAACCUUCGCCGCCGAUCCCAUUUUCUCGGCCUUCCUCUCCCCCUCCUUCUCCUCCACCUCCUUCUCCUCCGCCGCACUCUCCUCCGGCUCCCCCGCCUCCACCGCCGAGAAGCUCCAGCACGCCAUCCGCCUCCUCGAGUCCCAGCUCCGCUCCGAGGUCCUCUCCCGCCACUCCGACCUCCUCUCCCAGCUCUCCUCCCUCCAGCACGCCGACCACGCCCUCUCCACCGUCCGAUCCUCCGUCCACUCCCUCCAGUCCUCCCUCCGCCACACCCGAUCCGAGCUCUCCGACCCCCUCCGCUCCAUCACCGCCCUCACUCUCCAGCUCUCCAACCUCCACGCCACCUCCGAGCUCCUCCACCACACCCUCCGCACCCUCCGCCUCUCCAAAAAGCUCCGCGACCUCGCCGCCGACCCGGAGAAGAUCGAUCUCGCCAAGGCCGCGCAGCUGCAUUGCGAGAUCUUGGCGAUCUACGACGAGUACGACCUCGCCGGCAUCGAUGUCGUCGAGGAGGAGCUCGCCUGGGUCAGGGAGACCGGCGACACCUUGCGCGGCGAGGCCAUGAAGGCCUUGGAGCUAGGGAUGGAGGGAUUGAACCAAGGGGAGGUGGCGAUCGGGUUGCAGGUGUUUUACAAUCUAGGAGAGCUGAAGCAAGCUAUGGAGCAGUUGAUUGGCAAGUAUAAAGGUUUGGGAGUGAAGAGUAUCAGUGUGGCAUUGGAUAUGAAGGCCAUUUCGGGGUCGGUGGGCAGCGGGUUUGGCCCUGGAGGUAUUAGAGGGAGUGGGACGCCACAGAUUGGCGGCGGAGCUAAGGCCAGGGAUGGACUUUGGCAGAGAAUGGGGACGUGUAUGGAUCAGUUGCAUUCCAUCAUGGUGGCUGUGUGGCAUUUGCAGAAGGUGUUGUCUAAGAAACGGGAUCCUUUUACGCAUGUGUUGCUGCUUGAUGAAGUUAUUAAGGUGAGAGCAAAUGAUUCAAUGUGUUGCUUUUUAGUUCUUGGAUAGCUUUGUAUUUACUCUUAACUGUAAUUGUUUUCAAUAUGCCGAGUAAUAGUUUGUUUUGUUAUAUGAAAUGAGAGUGGAGGUGAAGAAAUGUAGGUGUAGUGGGGUGUGUAAAAUAUUAGAAACUGUAGGUGUAGUAGGGAGCGUAAAAUAUCAAGGACUGCGGGAUAGUUUAUUUGAUGAAGAGAGGUUCCGUGAAAUGGGGUUAAAUCUUCAAUGUCAAAAGAAGGAUAAACUAGGUGAUAUUAUACCGAGGGUAGAUUGGUAAGGAGCAUGAACAUUACUUUUAAUUUUGUGUUUUUGCUUCUACUUGCUUAGAUCAGCUACUAGCCAUAUUUGCUAAUGUAACAGUUGGGCGUGUAGUUGGAUAUCAACUGGACAUGGUUCACAUUACAUCAUACAUUAUGCAGCUCCUAGGAAGAUGAUAUAUCUUAGGUUGGCGUUGCUGAUGUCUGACCUAUACACCGUCUUAUGUUUUAAUUUGGUUUCUCAUCCUUUUUCCGCUCAUCUGCACUAAUUUCCGCCAACUUGAACAGUCUAUAUAACCAUGUGCCAGGGACUGUACAGACUGUUUCAAUAUACUUUGCAUUUUGGUUUACAAAGAGGUCAUUUCACUCAUUUGUUUUCUUUGUGUACAGUGUGUCAUUUUCAUACAGUGCUAUAUGAAGCUUGUCUGUUAGUAGAUCAUUUGUAAUGAUUGAUGUUCUUGCUGAUGAUUUUACUUUUUAUCCCAUCUAAGAUCGUUAAUUUGCUUACAUCGUAUUGUACGUCUCAGGAAGGGGAGCCUAUGAUAACAGAUAGAGUGUGGGAGGCCCUUGUGAAGGCUUUUGCCAACCAAAUGAAGUCAGCCUUUUCUGCAUCAACUUUUGUGAAAGAGAUAUUCACCAUGGGGUAUCCAAAGCUUUUUGCCAUGAUAGAUAACCUUCUUGAAAGAAUUUCACGUGACACAGAUGUGAAAGGGGUUCUACCAGCUAUUACUUCAGAGGGAAAAGAACAACUGGUUGCAGCUAUUGAAAUUUUCCAGACUUCAUUCUUGGCUCUCUGCCAUAGUCGUCUGUCAGAUCUUGUGAAUAAUGUAUUUCCUGUAUCCAGCCGUGGGAGUGUUCCCUCUAAAGACCAUAUAUCAAGAAUCAUUUCACGGAUUCAGGAAGAAAUAGAGUCUGUUCAGUUGGAUGCGCGCCUGACUCUUCUUGUAUUGCGUGAGAUUGGCAAGGUUCUUCUACUACUUGCUGAACGAGCUGAAUUCCAGGUAAUUCUUAUAGUUAUCUUGCCUAAAAUCUGACAUUUGUCUGCGUCUUCUUCUGAUUAGAGUAAGAUGUCCAGAGUUAGAUGGAAGGAGCUCAUUGUAUAUGGAAUCCAUUGUAGUUGCUCUAUUCCCUUAGUUCACAUUUCAUGUCUGAAGUAUACUCUAUAGGCCUGUUUAUACUAGUGGUCCCUUACUUUUCUCAUUGAUUAAGUUCAAAAAAAGCACAGAAACAUGAGAUGUAUGAUGUACUAGGUUUUCAUAAGCUUAUUCUGGGAGAUUUUUGGCGUAUUAAUCAAUCCCCAACAAAAGAUUGGUAGACUGGGUGUAUACUUUAGACAGUUAUGUUGUGAUCCUGUUAGUGUGACAAGUGAUCUUCAGGCAAUUGGGAUUUUGCUCAUUUAUAAAUAAUUUGAAUGACAGAUAUCAGCUGGUCCCGAAUCACGGCAAGUCAAUGGUCCUGCAACUCCUGCCCAACUCAAGAACUUCGUGCUAUGUCAGCAUCUCCAAGAAAUUCAUACACGCAUAUCGUCAAUGAUUAGUGGACUGCCCACUAUUGCCUCAGAUGUGCUGUCUCCGGCAUUAGGUGCAAUAUAUGGGGUUGCUUGUGAUUCAGUGACAACCUUGUUCCAAGCCAUGCUUGAUCGUCUUGAAUCUUGCAUCUUGCAAAUUCAUGAACAGAAGUUUGGUGUGCUAGGCAUGGAUGCUGCUAUGGAUAACAAUGCAUCACCUUACAUGGAGGAGUUGCAGAAGUGCAUUCUUCACUUCCGGAGUGAGUUCCUAUCCAGGCUGUUGCCUUCAAAAACUGCAACAGUGGGAGUAGAGACCAUAUGCACUAGACUUGUUAGGAGCAUGGCUGCACGUGUUUUAAUAUUUUUUAUCAGGCACGCUUCUCUUGUCAGACCCCUUUCAGAAUCAGGGAAGCUAAGGAUGGCUAGGGACAUGGCUGAGCUGGAAUUAGCUGUAGGCCAGAAUUUGUUUCCAGUAGAGCAACUUGGUGCACCAUAUAGAGCUCUUCGAGCAUUUCGGCCUCUCAUUUUCUUGGACACAUCCCAACUAGGAGCUUCUCCACUUCUUCAAGAUCUACCACCAAGUGUCAUACUUCACCAUCUAUACUCCCGAGGUCCCGAUGAAUUGCAAUCACCACUGCAAAGGAACAAACUAACACCUCUGCAGUACUCCUUGUGGCUAGAUUCUCAAGGAGAGGACCAGGUUUGGAAGGGUAUUAAGGCAACACUAGAUGACUAUGCUACACAUGUAAGGGCCAGAGGAGACAAAGAGUUUAGCCCUGUGUAUCCUCUAAUGCUUCGAUUGGGGUCAUUGUUGACAGAAAAUGCUCCUGAAACCCAAAAGCCUUGAUGUUUGUGCUCUUCCUGUAAGGUACUCACUUGAGAAGCAGGUAUUAGUCAAGUUGGUUUUUGAGGAAGAUGUCAAAGAUGGGAUAAUUGCAGAUACAUCAUAAAGAAUUAUACCACUUCCAUCAGGCAACUGUGAGGUACACAAGUUCUCUUUACUACUUGCGCUGCAUCAUCUUUCAGCCGAUCAUUUUGUUGUUCUUCAGGUUUUAGGUCUAUACUGAUAGGUAAAUUGUGAGGGCUUAAUAGCUAUUGAAUUCUGCUUGACAGCAUGCAGACUCCAGUUAAUUAAAAAUUCAUUGUAACUUUCCUUUUUGUAUCUAUUCUUUCUCUUCCUCACCCUUUUUGUGGUGAUUUAUCCUCCAUAUCAUGUAAAUUUGAUUUGCAUAUAGUCGAAUGUAAUGUUGCAUUUGGUGCUCAGAUUCUAUGACUUCUUAUUUCUUCAUUAUAUUACUCCACAAACUUUUGUAGCCACUAGAUUUUACUGUAAGCAAACAUUCCAUUCUGAUUAUCUGCUGUUUCAAGUUUGAGGUUGGGUAUUGUUUGAAAGAGUCCUUCUCUGGUACUCCGGAGAAACGACAGAAGAUUAGGAGAAUAAAAGAAACCCGGUCACGAAUUUGCUGUUAUCACUUAAAUUACUGCGUACAAAGAUGUUAGUUCUAUGGUCAUUAGUUGGUGGGUGGUACCAAGGCCUGUUCCAUUUUUUUGAAUCCUAAUUCUUAGAAAAACAAUGAGAUUCUUUUAAGAAUUAAAUUCAGUUUACCCCCAUGAGGUUUGGGAGUAACUUUAUGUUAAUCCCUAUACUUUCAAUUUCAUCAGUUUACCCUUUAAACUUUUGAAUUUUCCUCAAGCGUGACCAAAUGUCCUAUAUUCUGUCCAAAUCGGACGUUAACUGCUGAUAAUUUUAACCUUAACUGUGAGGCCAUUAUCUAGAAUUUAGGCAAAUCAGACCUUAUAUGUCCAAAUCGAAUCUUAACUGUUGAUAAUUAAAAGUCAAUUCAAACGGAAUAUGAGAAUUUAGGCACGGCAGACAGAAAUUAAAGAGUUCAAGGGGUAAAUUGAUGAAAAUAAAAGUGUAGGGACUAACAUGAAGUCACCCUCAAACCACAAGGGGGUAAACUGAAUUUAAUUCUUCUUUUAAUAAUAGUAAUAUGGGUAGAUGAAUUUCAAAUUGGCUGAUUUACUGGAAAGAAAUUAUACAGUACAAAGAUUUGUGUAGGUAAUGAAUGGUUUGAUAACAAGAUUAGUGAAAACAAGAAGGAUAUGGUACAGGGUUGGUCGGGAAAGUUGCUUAUAUGGCUAAUCUUUUGAAUUGGUAUAAUGCUAUAUAUGUUGCCUACAUUUUUGAAACUACUCUGCUAUCUUAUGUUUCCUGCAACUUAUUUGAUGUGAAAAAUGGCAUCCUCUUGGCAUAUUGUUGAAUGAAAUCUUCACAUUACAUCUAUAUAGGACCUUUGAAUCUGAAAAGAAUGUUUCAGAGCUAGAGAUAGACUUGAUGGUACCAUGUCCUAGUUCAACCAUGUAUCACCUGAAUCGGAUAAAUAAAAUGCUCCAAUUCAACCUCCAUUCAGGAACCCAUCACUAAGACUUGGACAGGUUAUUUGUGAGGAUAUUCUCCGUGGGAUUUCAACCUUUUGGUACCCUAUUUGGGAUUCGCUUCUUCAAAGGGUCGCUUAUCUUGAGCUAUUAUGUCUAGUAUUGUAUCAUCUGAUGUUUAUAUCUUCUUAAGAGUCGAGACCAAAACCCCAUUCAUGACCAUAAGUCAAGUUUAGUUAUUAAGCUAGGUUCGACUCUUUGUCACAAAAGCGAACUGAAUUGAAGCGUCUGUUUUGUCUGCUAUUGUUGACAUUGCUUCGCUGGGAACCUGAUACAUACAAACACUAGCAUACAGUCUCCCAGUGUCAUGGUGAUGACUUAUCAUCCACGUUGAUCAUACAAUUUUACUAUGCCAAAUUGCCAAUACAUGUCCUACACCUUAUAUAAUUUUCUAUUCAUUACAGCUAAUUCAAACAAAGGCAUAUUGUUUCCUGUUCAAACUUGUGGAAUUGCUUCUACUCAUGGUUACAGUGACACUUGGUUUCUGGUAAAUAUUACAAUGAAACUCUAAUCCUGGUAAUAUAAUUUUGGAAAUAUUUUUCUGGGGGAAAGCUUAUCUUGGUUCCCUUUUAGAUUGAACUUUGAUGAAAGGAGGAAAGUUUAGAACAAAUUUGCUAUUUCUCUAAAAACUUGAAAGUAUGAUACAUAACUUUUGGAGAAUGCUAAAGGUUCAUCCAUAUAAUCCUAACUAAGCAAACAAAAGGGUGACCUGCAUCAUGAAUAUAGGAGCUGUCAGGAUCACGAGGCUGCAGUAUUCCUGGGAGACCAGCUAGUUCUAUAAUCACCUAAGAAGAUGACCUUUUCAUUUCUUUAUUAAGUGAUCAUAAGAAAAUGACUUCCUUUGCUAAACAGUUCGUCUAUCUUCAUUGCUGCAAUGUGGCACACUGGUAUUUGAAGUAGGCAAAUAGUAUAAGACAGCCAAAGCCAAAAUCCCAGAUUUCUUAUGUGACACCUGAGAUGUGGACAUUGAGGCAUUCACACAUCACUGUUCUAAUGACACAUCUUAUUUCCAAUUUCUGCUUCAUAAAACAAGUAAACAAGUGCUAAAUUCCCAUUUAAUUAUUUCGUAUCCUUCUUUGUUUACUAUUCAUGAUUACUUGAAGAAGAACAAACAAUUAUGCAGCAUAUAUAAUUGAUUCUAAAUAGUUGGCGACGUGCCCUGAAUGCUCUUCUACCCUAUAUGGCAUCACAUACAGUAUCAUAUUAUUCUACAGUUAGCUUUAUACACCAAAAACUACCCUCUUAAAUUGACCAAUGUCUACAUCUGCUUCCAUGUAAAUCCAAACCCUGGCAUUUGAAUUGAGGUGUGAUGGGUCAUUCUCUGAAAAUGAGAUAGAGUAUGAUUUUAGUUUGGUCAAUAUAGAUUAUUCCUGUUAUGAAACUUUCUUUUCUAAUUUUUAAGAACCAACAUCAUUUUCAGCAUCUGUAAUUUUUGUGUCUUAUUCUGUUACCACCACCUUCAAAACAAUCUCCAUUGUUAGCCUUAAUAUUUAUAGCUCUUGAAGCAUCCGCUUUAGCAUAAUAUCUGGAGUUGAAUCCUAGGCAGGCAGCUAAGACAACUAAGUAGAAUUGUUAGAAACUAUGGGGAAGAAAGUAAGCCAAACAUCGGUGAAAAUAUCUAAGGAGAAGAAGGAGUUUAACAGUUUGAUUAGACUCUUGAGGCCUAAAGUCUACAUCACUGACUGCUCAAGCUUCAAGACCCUAGUGCAAGACCUCACCGGCAAUGGAAGCUCUAAUAUCUCAGUUACUGCUACCUCCUCAUCACACCCUCAGCAACAACACAAAGUACCAGUUGUAGAUGUUGAGGAGUAUCAAGUAGAGCCUGAGAGGAGUACUAGCAGUGUGGAUGUCUCAACUGAUGCAUCAUUUGAUUCUUCCGGGCUGUGGAACCAAGAAAUCUUUAUGAACGACCAAGAAUUGAACCAACUGUGUUACCAGAUGUACUCAGAUGCUAAUACAACAAAUAUUUUAGAAGGUUCAUCACCUUCGACAGCAGACCAAAUGGUAGAUAUGUUGCCACUUCAAGAUCUUGAGUCCUGGCUUUUGGGGACUGAACCAUUUGAGCCUUUCAACAUUAACGGUUAUGGUCAGAUUGAUCAAGAGGUCAGCAUAUUUGACUAUGAGCUGUCAGGGCUACUAUGAUCAGAUUGUUUGUUCUUCGAAUAUUAGUUCUGCACACAGUACAUUCUGCUCUAUUCAAAUCAGUACAUACAUAGGUCAUAGCUAUAUAUAGAUGUAUUUACGCCUGUAUAUUAAUUCUUUGUAUAGAGAGAGGCCCAUUUCUGCUUUUACAAAUUACUGUCUCUGGAAUUUGUUCAAUCUAUACUUUGUACGCAUCAGCUUUCGGUAUUAUUGGUGAUUAUUGAAUAGUUGUUCAUAGUAUACAUACCUAACAAGGGUCUGCAAAUUUAUAGGAGCAUCCAGCCUUAUUUCAUUCUCAUACGUUUUUCAAAUCUCUGUAUAAAAACACCUUAGUUCAUGCCACUAACUGAUGGAGAUUGACUAAUACCAGGCUGGUUUGGAGAAAGCUGAGGCUCAGUUUAAAUUUGCUUUUGUACCCUCACUUGAGGAAAAGCUAAGUAUCCGUUUUCCUAUAAUGUUUCAUUUGUGGUUUGGAAAACUUACCUAAGGUAAGUCGCCUGGCAGAAGCCACAACUUCCCUUUACUCCUGUAAUCCUGUUGUACUGAAAUGAGCAUUUGUUCCUCAAAAAAAAGGUUAUAUGAACAUUUGGCAGUGACUACAAUUUGCAGUGCUUUAAGAGUGAAAAAUGAAUUUACUUCUUUGCAGCUUCCAUUAUACUCUACGAAUAUACAUACAACUUCCAAAUCAUCAUGCAGAAAAACAUUGUAGCUAGCUGAGCGAUCUUAACUUAUGAAUGCCAGUGACAUAAACUUCCCUUCACCAAUAGUUGGCGCCUUGCUCGAAAACCGCUACCCACAGACUAAUAGGGGUACCUUACACAAAGGGCAUAAAAACCCCUUGACUUGCAAAAAAUGAAAAUAGUUGCAGUCUUUUUUGUGUGUGUGUCAUGUUGGAGGGAAGACACCGGCUGCUGAGCUUGGAUGGCUGCCUAGACUCCGUUGACAUUGCAGUCUAUCAGUAGAGAAAAGAAUGAUGGGAAGUCUAUCAGUCUGUUGGUUUAAUUAGUAUUCUCCACAGGUUUUUGUGUUCAGUUUUUUUUAGUAACUUAAAUUUUGUCCUUAUUGACUUAACUUUUAUCUUUUUAUGCAAAUGAUGAUUGAAAUAAAAAAUGUGAAUGUAGAUUACAAUUUGAGGAGUGUGGAUUUCAUAUCCCUUUCUUGUUCGAUCAUUUCAUUUCCUCUAUUGCUUUAUAUGAUAAUAAUGAUAUUGGCCUUCUCUGCGAUUAGGGUUUUUACUAUUCCACAUAAAAUGGAUGAUCUUGAAUAGAAGGUGUUUGUUGAAACGUUCAUAUGUGUUAUUAGUUUCAGCCAGCAGUUGAGGAAUCAACAAUUGCUAAAAUUGAAUCAAAUCAUAUAUUCAUAUGCAACAAAAUCAACUUGUCAAUGAAUAUUAUGUUUUUGAGUUGGAUCUACUAGCUUAAGUUGUAAGAGGAGGAGGAAAGUAUGUUGGGUCAGAAAUGCUUCUUUAACCAUUGGAAACCAAAAACGAAAGGAAAGAUGCCUUCCUGGAAUAGUUUAAUAAGCUCCCUAGCUACUAGUAAACGAGGGCCAUCUUGGUUCCAUUAUUGGUUUUUAAGUUUGAACUAGUCAAUCCUAAAAUAUAUUAUAUUGACUAAAAAAAUUUCAUCUUCUUCUGCAGUAACUCUGGGGUGAUCUCCAGAGUUUUGUUUCAGUUUUGAUUGGAGAUAGUGGCAAGGAUAUGGACUUUCUCAGUUGACUCCUGGGAUGGUUCUCAGAUAUCAGAAGUAUCAUAUCAACAGCAAAUCAAGCACAAAUUCAUUAGUCUUUUGCCUACAACUUGGAUUGUACGUGUAUGUUUUCUAUAUCUCUUCUUCACUGUAUUUUCUGCUUUGUUUUGUGUACUGGUUCAUUGUUGGUUGAGCAGUUGUUGAUUGGAUUUGCUUUUAUUUGUUGACAACAAAUUGCCAAUUAGUAUUGCCGGUACUUGAUAAUGAACAAUUCAAAACACAUUGUACAGAUAAAACACACUGAAUAAAACACAAAUGAAGAACGAAAUAUAGAUAGAUGGUUGGAUUACAAAAUUAAGUCGCACACAGAAUAGAACGUACAGAAGAUAAGCAUAACAGAAACAUUCAAGUUGAAGUCAUUAGAGCACAAAGCAACCAAGUAUGCUAGGCGGUGAGUGAGGGCCUGGGUCGCCAUGGUAUUCGAAACCGCAAGGAGGCUGGAAUUCAACAGUGAUACAAUUGUUCAUGUCCUCGUUCACCUUGCAGAUGUCAAAUUCAAACUGAAAAAGUAUGGCAGCACUACGCAAGAUAAGAGACCCAUCUUCAGAUGUUUCAAAGUAGUCAUCAUCUAUGUCUCUGGGAGAGGAGUUGACAAGGCAGACAUUGUUUCCCCCUAGAUGGAAGAAAUGAUACUCGUCUGGGUAAGGGAACUCAGCUGGCAGAUUCAUCUCCAAAAUUUCAGUGAUAUCUUCUUGGUCUUCAUCCAAGGACAUAAGAUAAACUAGUAGAUUAGUCACGGAGGGGGGCACCCGCUUGAGAGUAAACAGUAACUUUCUGUGAGGGUUUUGUUCGAGGUCCAGCACUAGACCAUUGCGAAAUAAUGGAAAUGGAGUGAGGACUCUCUUCCAUUUUUGUUUCUGAGGGUCUUGGGCUGCAAGGUCAAAGCACCAAACAUUUUGAGGCGGCCGUUCCUUAUUUCUGGACCAUGAACAGUUGUCUAGGUUGGACACAAACAACUUGCUGCCUGCAAGUGCAUAAGAGGAGGGGCUGCCACGAAAAGGUUUAGGGUAUGGCGGCAGAGCCAACCAAGUAGCCCGAUCGGGGUCAAAUACCUCGAAAUUAUAACGUCUAGGCGUACAGCUCAGAACGUAGAGUUUGCCAGCAAACUCAACCAUCAGCAGUCUUUCUUUCCCUCCCUUUAAAGUCUGGGGCAUCAUGAAUAUUUCUUGAUUGGGGUCAUGGAUAUCAAAGACAUAAACACUGUUGCAAGCUGAGCAUCCUGUUAGGUGCAAAACCGCCGGCAAAAAAAAUCUUGGAGCCCAAAACACCGCAACCCCCACAGAUUGGGAGAUCUUCCCCGGUCAUACACGCCACUUGCCGUGCUAUUUUUUCCACCAUCGACGAUGGUGGCAUCAGCAAUUCGCGAAGAUUGAUGGACCGAAUAACAUAGGCAAGCUUUAGCGUGUCUCCGAAGGUUAUAGAUUCAACGCUACCGAGGUACAGAGACUUAUCAAGAAAUUCUUCUUUCAAUCCUACACCGCCAUGAAUCAUCUGAUUCUCCUCCAUCUUCACCAAUUUCAGAAUAAUCGGAUUGUUUAAUUAUAAUAAUGAAGCAAAAUUAGAAUAUAAAACCAACCAAAAGCAACGAUCGAACCCAGAAACGCAAACCUACACCAGACUGGUUCAGAGAGUUCUGGUCGUCGAUAAUCCUUGCUGAUGUCACCGCUUGAGCUUUGAGGAUUAGGUUUCCGGCCUUUUUAUAGAGGUCGUCAACGGGCUAGCAGCCCAUUUGAACAUUGUUUUAGAGGUUUUUUCUUUAGGGAUAAUAAGUUUGAACUAAAGAAAGGAACUUUUCUUUUGAAACAUGGACAUGAAUUCGAAGCCUUUACUACCAAACUGGAAAAUGGUGAUUACAACAUGACCAGCUCAUAAGGGCUAAGAGAACGAAGUCAUGCUAGAUAGCCUUAGAGCAACUUAAAAGAAACUAUCAAGGAGUUCAAAUGUGAAAUCCACACACCCCAAAUUAUAAUCCACACACCCACUUUCUAUAUUUAGUAAUCAUUCUCAUAUGAAGACAAAAUUUAAAUCACUACAAUUUGAGGUGUGUGGAUUCACUUCCCAUAAAAAAAUAAAUCAACAAAACUAGAAUGUUGGGACAUGCCCCAAGGCCCCUAACCUUCUCUAGUUAUCCAACCCGGUACCAUCCUACACAUAGGAGGUAUCCCUGGGUUCUUCCACCGCCAUCGAACUAGCCGCCGGCUCCGGAGACAGUUCAUGCAAACCAUCAAUGACCAAGGCAUGUUUGACCGAAACCUGGACCUUUUUCCUCUGCUUCAUACAUUAGCACUAAUUUGCAGCUUCCAAGGGUGUGAAUGUCCUCCUUCUUCGGCUUAUUCUUGGAACCAAUCGGCCACUCAACUUUGCGCUUCUUUGGCAGUGAGAUGACAAGAGAUCCGACAAAAUUAGGCAAUGACAGCUCCAGGAUUGGGUCUAGUUCGGUCGAUUGGGCCUCCAUAAGAUCAACCGAGCCUCUAGGUCUCUUUCCCAAGUCUAAUCCCAUUAACACAAUUGCAUCGUGCUUCUUCCCGGAAAGAACAAGAACAUUUACCGUCAUCUUUCGCAGCACCGGCGGAGCCGAGGCCAGCUGAGCAAACACCACAAGGCUAGGCGCUCGGACCAAAGCCUGAGAGCGAGAACCAGAAGCAGAGGGGUUCCCAGUAUUGGUUGCCCAUGAGAGAGCAAAAGUGUGAGAUUAGGGUUAAGGUUUCCCUGCACCCCUCCACUCAAAAUCACCCCCGCAGACACGUCUGAGGGCCCUUGAUCGACAACCAGAUUUAUGCUUUAGCAACAAGUCCUACAAAAUCUGCAAACUCUUUCAUCUUUGAAAGUUAAUGACACAUAAGUCAUAUCCUUACCUUCUCUAAAAUCAAAUCGCACUUGUUUGACAAGAGAGUCGAGGUUUGUGCUCCAAUCGAACCCUAGCUCGUGCAACCUAGACAAGGUUUGGAUGAUCGUGAUUGAGGAUCUGGCCGAGAGUAGCACCAACCAUGUACAAAGCUUCCUUCGUCAUAAGGUCCGGUGGGAGACUAAAAAUUUCAACCCAGACCGGGAUAGUUUUGAUCGGAACCAGAUUGGUGUUCAUCCUUCCAUCAUAGUGAGCAAGAGCGAACAUCAAUUUGCCAUAGAUACAUGGACCUCCCUCCACUAUAUGUGUAGAGUAUGGACCCCUUCCAUGAUUAUUAUGGUAUCACAUAAUGAUCAUGUGUAGAUACGAUGUAUAUCUUAUCCCGCCAAGCAUAAGCAACAACCUCGUAGACCGUGCUCCAGCCACAGCGGGUCUCAUUUGUAAGUAUAUGACAAUCAUAUUCAACUUGGAAAUUAAAGAGGAUUCUAUCCAGAUCAAGAAGAAGAGACGUUUCCUGGUCCAACUAGGAGAGGCAAAGUCUAAGCCGGUGUUACUGCAGUAAACUUGCAAUAACCUUGAUCUCGAUCACCAAAGGUAAAAUGCAUCUCAUGCAUAUCAUGGUUUUAUAAUUAAUGAGAAAUUUUUAGAUGCUACAGGAUGACCACAUGACAGUAUGACAUGGUCCUACAUUCCAAUCAAAUAUUGACACGUGGAUUUAUUACAAUAAAAUAUAAACUAAGGUUUUUUAUUUUUUGUGAAAAGAUCUUCAUGGGUCUUUGUUGAGUUUGGACUAGGGUUUAGGGUUUAGGGUUUAGGGGUUAGGGUUUUGGGUCUAGGGUCUAGGGUUUAGAGUUUAAAAAGCAACAACAAACCCAAAAUUGUCUUUGACAAAAAUAUGUGAUGUAAUUUUUCCUUAGUAAAAUCCAAGUGUCAAUAUUUGAUUGGAAUGUAGGACCACGUCAUACUGCCACGUGAUCCUGACAGGAGGACCACGUGGCAGUAUGACAUGGUCCUAUAUUCCAAUCAAAUAUUGACACGUGGAUUUAUUACAACUAAAAUAUAAACUAAGAUUUUCUAUUUUUAUGAAAAGACCUUCAUGAGUCUUUGUUGAGUUUGGACUAGGGUUUAGGGUUCAGGGUUCAGGGUUUGGGUUUAGGGGUUAGGGUUUUGGGUCUAGGGUCUAAAGUUUAUAGUUUAAGGUUUAAAAAGCAACAACAAACCCAAAAUUGUCUUUGACAAAAUAGGUGAUGUAAUUUUUCCUUAGCAAAAUCCAAGUGUCAAUAUUUGAUUGGAAUGUAGGACCAUGUCAUACUACCAUGUGGUCCUCCCGUAACGUUGAAAAAUUUCUCUAUAACUGAUUGUGAAAAAGAUUGAGUUUCAUUGAGAUUAGAUUCGUUAAAAUAUCUUUGAGAUGUUUUAGGAAGUUUCAUAUAUAUCUCUUAGGAAAAUGGGUUCCCAAAUCAUAUCUGUUGCUAACUGAUUUGGUUUAGAAUAAGUUUCCUUGUGUAUCUCAAUAAAAGAAUCAGUGGGGAUUUGAUUGAGGGGGAGAUCUUAUCUCCCUCUAUAUACACAUAUAUUGAAAUACACCUUGAAACUAUUGAGUUUUUAUUUUUAUUAUUGAUUGAUACUUCUCUGCUACAUAGUUUGUAGAAAUUGCUUGAAAAACUCAUUGCCAUUCUGUCAUCUUUGUAUCAUUGCAUCUGUCAUUCUAUAGUGAUCGAGAUAAGUGGUGUGUGACUCAAGAAGGCGUGUUCAGUUCCUUCAUACCAGUGAUUGGUUCACAAAAGAAUAGAAUAGGUUUUUUAGUUGUAACGAUCAAGUUAGUUUGUAUACUAAUAAAUGUGAUUGUGUUGAACAUCACUGCUUGAUAAAGACUGUAAUUCUAUUUGUUCUUAGUGCAUUAAUUCAAGUGUGGACUACUAUAAAGUCUCGCAGUGAAGUUUCCUUGAGGAAAUUUUAUAUGUACUGUAGUUAACAAAUGUGUUAUGUUGUUCUUUCAAUUUCUAUUGUUUAAGACUUGGGAUAAAUAAGAAAAGAGGUCCAAUUUAUACUUUCAUCAUCUCUGACAUAGAUUUGGUAGACCGGCAUCCAGGCUUCUUCGUCAUAGUGAAGGAUCGUGAAUUUGAAAGAAUCGACCUUGUUAGUUGUUACCUUAUGUGUAUUGACACGACCCGCCCCAAAUUUCACCCUGAAACCCGGAGUAAGUCGUGCGGAGACCAUCUCUAAGGAAAAUUUUACCGAAAAUGAUUGGUAAAACCUCCCUUGAACAUGGACAACCCUAACUCGAAAAUUUCCAAUUUACACUCUUACUACAACACGUCCAAACUUCACAUAAAUAUCCAGCUAAUAAAAGCUAAUAUUAUCCUUCAGAGAUUCUAAACAUCAAACCAACAGGCCGAGCACACUACCGAAAUAAUAUACAACAAUCCCAAAGUAUCCAGAGCUACUAAACUCUAGCGGAAGCAUGAAAACACAAGUAGGUUGAACAGGUAACGUACUGAUGAAAACUGGCAGAAAUGCGGGUGACUAUGCCUCGCCUCCUACUAGAUCCAACCCGAACUCUGCAGACUGGGCAUUUUAAAACGAAGGGCCCAGGGGAAAAACAUUUAAUAACGUUAGAGUGAGUGGACAAUAAUAAAUUAAUAAGAAAAAUAUUUCUGUUUCCCCAAAUCCAUUUCUAAGAAAAAAUCGAAUGCAUGCCGCAAGCGAUAAAACUUUUAUCUCAUAAAAUAUUGAGCCUCUCAGACUCUAUAAUAUAUGUAUGUAUUUACACACGUCCAUACUCCCUAUAUAAAUUCAUGGGUCUAUAUAGGGCUACUACGCUCGCGUCCAACGCUCACGUCACGCCUUAAUGCGGUGCUACACUACGCCAUUAAGGUGGACAGACGGGUGUAUAAAUAUGUGUCCAUACCCCAUAUGUGAAUUAAACACUCAUAUAAGGCUACUACGCUCACGUCCAACGCUCACGUUACACCAUAAUGAGGCUAUAUGCUACACCAUUAAGGUGGACAGACACAUAUGGCUAGCUAGCAUUUUAUAUACAUACUCUCUCAUAAAUACAUAUUUAUAUCCACCGAAUAUCCUAUUUUCGGUAACUCUCCAAGAGAAUUAAAAUUCGUCAAAUUAAAAUGACGUCAAAAUAUUCCGCAACAAUUAUUGUUCAACCAUGUACUCUAGCAUGCAUUUUAUUUAAAACAAAAGUCCACUCACAAAUUAGGCCUAAGCCUGAUGUCGAUCUGGGGCCUCGUCUGCUUGAGCCUCCUCACGUCCUGUUCCAAAUAUAAUAUUAAUUUCCCAACUAACAAUCCAAUAUUUAAUCAAAAUAGGCAAAAUUACCCGAGAGCCAUAAAUACGCUCAUCAUUGCCUAACUUCGAUAUUCUUAAAUCGGAACACUCCCAAACCGCGGCGGCGGCCGGAGGCCGAUUCCGGCGACCUCCGAUUUCUAUGAAAUUUUGACAAAAUAAUCCUCUCAUCAUGCUCUACAACUUUCCUAACUAGCACAAACACCAAUUCCAAGCCUAACUAGGGUAAUCGACUAAAAACAUCAAAAACGCCAUAAAACUUCCACCUCAAAUUCCUCUUUACCUAGCUCAAGAGGGAGUGAGCUGUUUGGAGGGGUUGCUGCACGGGAGGAGGGUUACAAAACAAGCCAAGGAUCGCCGAUUUUGGUGGCCGGAGGAGGGAGCUCCGGCGAGAGAACCACCACGGUAGCUAGCGGCUCCGGGCUCACGGUGGCGCUAGGGGGAGCUGCUACCGGCCUAGAAUGGAAGCUGGGUCGGGGGCAGUCAGUUUGGGACCGGAGCGGCGGCAGAUGGUGGCCGGACGGCGGCAGGAGGACGGCCGGAAAACCGGGCAGUGGGAGGAAGAAUUCGGGAGAGAGAGAGAGAGAGAGAACCGGGAAGAAAAGAGAGAAGAGAGAAAAUGGGUUUGGGCCUCAUACCCCAAACUGAUCCAAGCUUAUAACAACUAAAUUCCAAAAAUAAAACACCCCGAAAAAAUAAUACCCGAAUAAAAAUUACCUUUUACUAGCUAAAAUUCACCAUUUUUACCGUCAUCAUAUUUUCUCCCACGAAUAAUUCCCCGAAAUUAAUCGUCCCUCAAAACACCUCUAGGGACCAAUUAAACUAUUACCUCAAUGACGGAGACGGUAAAAUUCUUAUUAUAAUCAAACUAGUAAAUAAGGUAAAAAUAUAAGGAUCGGGAUGUGACAUGUAUUCUAAUUUUUAUUAUAAUUCAAGUGACUGAUGUGAGCAAACUUGCAUUAUUUAUAGUUGUCAAAAACUAAAAGGGCAUUUAAUGACUGCUGUAAUAGAGAAAGUUGACCAACACAGACUCACUAUGUCUUCCGUGGAACAUUGAGAUUCAAAUCACUGAAUUUCAGAAGAGUGCGUAUAUCGGUGAUUGGGAUUCUCAACGAGAGAGAGAGAGAAGAAAGGAGAGAGGAGAAAAGGAUUGAAGAUGGGAAGUUAUUUGGUGUGAAGUCACAGAUUGGGGUGAAGCUUCUUUCAGCCCUCAGAUCAGCUUCAUUUUGAUCCAACGGUCAGUGGUGGAGUGUCCCUUUCUGUCCCGUAAAAACUAUCCCGCAGGUGAGCGGGCCUGAGUAUAUAUAAUAGUAAGUGCGUAUCAUCACACAUAACACUCUUUCUUUCACUUUGAAACUCUCCGUCGCACAAAACGCUCUAUCAUCGUUGCUAUAAUUAUGGCAUGGAGCUGCCGAUCCAAGCCGGUCUUUCUCCUACAGCUGUGCUUAGUUUUUUAAUAUUUGCGAAUCGAAUUGCAGGUCUGCUGAUAGUUACCUUAUUUCUAGUCGAGUGAAGAUCCCAAAUAUGUUUUUUAAUUUCGAGUGUUUGUAGUUUCUGUAUAACUGUUCGAAAUUUGUGAUCUUGGAUUCUGUUAUGGUGAAUUAAUCAAUCAAUGACUUGAAACAUGAAUUGAAUUUAGCUAGAUGUUAGCUUUGAGUGGUUGGGUCCAUGUUAAACGUGAUUAGGGCUGGUUUUGUGGUUAAAUUGAUCGGAUUAGUGCUGUGAGGUUAAGGAAUUUUACCAUGAUUUGGACUUAGUAAAGCUUAUAAGCUUUGAAAUUUCAUAAGAUGAUGUAAAUUACUUCAUGUUGUUGUUUGGCAUGCUCAUACGCUAUGGUGAAGGAAGAUAUGCUUAAGUUGUGGUUUUUGAAGAAGGGUAAUGAGUGUGGAUAGAAACUCCAUUUGUUUCGUUGAGAGUAAACGCUAAAGCCGACUGGCAUUGAGUGGUGAGGAGAGGGUAUUGAUGUAGUGAAUUUGGGGAAGAAAGUAGUGCCAAGAAUACGUCUGGUGGAAUUUUCCCGUCAUUGUUCAUUGACAAGAGAUAUCUAGCACCUGCCCGCAAUAAGACCACAUUAUUUUCAAGUCCUCGGUCAAGUUAUCAAACCUAACACAGGUUUGUAGGAUUACUCUACACACUUUGAUCAUCAAUAUUGACUAUUAAUGUUUUCCUUUCUUUUUGAUCCAAGUAAAAGGUUCUUCUAUGGUUGCGUCUCAUUAUAGAUCCCCUUACUGUAUACUUUGUAUAUUAUAAACUCAUAGCUCAUGUCAGUUAUUGAAUUUUCUAUGCAGGUUUGGGGGUGAAAGGGUUCGGUCUUCAUGGAAAAAUAUCAAAUAUCAAAGUCAUACUAAAUGGUGGCCAAAGUGUUCUCAUUGUAUCCUAAAUCUUCUUUGAUAUGUUGAUUUUAAUACAAAAUUUCACAUGAGUGUGUGUUUCUAGUGUAUUAAAAUUUCAUAGAUAUUUAGUAUAAAAUGCUAAUUCAAGCCAUAAUGUACCCCUGGGGACUCAUUUAAUUGAAGUGUCUGCAAUAGAUUACUUCUUUUCUCCGGUAAGACUCAUUUUCUAUUGAAUACCUUUCCUUUUGUACUUGUCAAAAUGAAAUGACCUCUGAUGGGACUUGUCACUAAAAUGUUUAGGUCCGAGUUGAUGUUAGUGCCAGAAACCCUGGCAAGGUUCAGGCAGCACUGACUGAGAAUAGGAGGGGUCUACUUGAAUUUGUUUUAGAGCCACUCAAAGAGGAACAAUAUUAUGAGGUUGGUAAAUCUCAUUCAACAUAAUAAGUUCACUAUUUCUUAUUCUCAUGAAUUUUUAUGAUCACAAAUAAGGGAACCCUUCAACAUUAUGUCUAUUGUAAAGAGCCCAAUGGGUUUGAUGGUUAGAUUUAUGGUGGUUGUUGUGUUUUUGAUGCCCAAACUAAUGGAAACAUAUGGGUAAGUAUUCUAUGCUCCUACAUGUUUCUAAAUUAUGUUAUGGGCUUCAGACUUAGAUUUCAUCGUGUCAAAAUGACUCCACGGGGACCGGCAUGCUGAUUCUCUCUUCAUAGUUUGCAGGGCUCAAUCUCAAGUUUUUUGAUUUUGAACUGUCAAAAAUGGGAAAACUAGUAUUGCACAAUAUCUCGUUUUAUAUGAGAUAUUCCCGAGACACAUAGUUUGAUAAUUAUUACCUUAUUUUUUCUUUCUGUUCACUAAUAUAAUCAUGAAAAUCUUAUGAUUAUUUCAUACUUAAAAUCUUUUCAAAAAUGAUAUGAGCAUUUCUUGUUUAAAUUGUGAAGGGAACAUGUGGCUUCCUCCACUCCUUAGAUGGUUUUGACUGCCACAUUUCACUUCUCUGGGGUCGGUCUGCAGUUUUUGUCUUAAAUCAUGCACUUUAAUCCUCCCAAGGCUUGUCUAUGCAUCAUAUUAUCUUGCUUCAUAAUGCUCGUGCACUCUCCAUUUUAGCUCACAAUUGUUGGAUGCUAUAUGUUCAUAUACUUAUGCAAUCAACUCUCCUUUUAUGCAAUAGAUCCCAAAGAAAUGAGGCGAACUCAAGAAGCAAUGGGAAACGGGGGACUGGCAAGCAUGUUACCUAGUGGCUGGUGCUGCUGUGAGUUAAAAAGUUGAAUAGAAAUACACAACCCUCUUUGCAGAUAGAGCACUUAUGUUUUCUAGAUCAGGAUUAUGCCCCGAGGGUUUUGUUUCAUUGCAGCAAAACUCCAUAAUAGAAAUUAACCUGCUGUUGUAGAAUUAUUAUUCUUUGAAGCCAAGAAAUGUGAUGGUAUUACGCUGACAAUACCUUUUUGUUUUUGUAUUUGUCUAUUAGUGUUAGGACAUGGCCCUUUAGUGUUAACUUCAUUUCUACGUUCCUGAUGAACUCAAACUGCUCAUAAAUAUAUUAUCUCACGGGAAUCAGUUUCACGACUUUUUCUUUGAUCGGAAUUUCAUGACUUCAUCGAAAUUUCAUGACUUGAUCGGAUAGUCUAUUGAAACUCAAACGCAACUCCGUAUAUAUCAUGUCUUUAGCAAUAAUGAAAAAUAGCUCUCUAUUAGCCAUAAGUUAGACCAAUUCAAUAAACAACAAAAUCUAGUUCAUUCAUAGCUUGUGUUCAACCAAUGACCAUAAAAACAAAUAAGUAACAACAUUGUGCAUUUGUGCUAAUGAAAUACAUGUGAUAUGAAUCACUUCCAUAAUGGCCUGGUAAUUGGCUUUUGUGACUUGUUUCCAGUGCUUGGUCCCUUUAUAUUUUGAAAGUGGGUUGUGAAGAUGAUGUUGGGACAACCAAAGUUCUUGAAAUUGGUAGUGUUGGUUGUGAAGAUGAAUAACUAGGGUUAGAUGAAGCACCAGUAGUGGAUAUUGAUAGGCUCCUUGGAUUUGGAGGUCUCUAGACCUGGAAAUACUAAUAUCGUCAAUAUAUGUCUUGAAUAUUACACAAGAAAUAUCACACUUAUGAGAUUCCCUCCAAAAUAUCACAAAGCAAACAUGCAUACACUGAAAUUUGAUCAUAAAACAAAGUACCAAGCUCAUUCAAUUCAUCCCAGCAAAACCACAUAAAUUUCAAACUGAAACACUAGAUAAUAGAUAAUGGAAACGAAGAAUGAAUGAAGAAUGAUUUAAAUUGAACCUCAGAUGCAUUCAUAGACUUCUUAGCAAGCUCAAUGGGGCAAGUUCUUAUGUUAUGGUGCUCUGAACAACAUGUGUUGCAUGAGGAUGUCACGUAGGAACUCUUAAGCAUCUUAGUUGUGUCAGCCAUAGUAGCCCCAACAUUUGGAGCUGGUGGUUCCUCAUCUUUCUCCCUCCUCCUAGCCAUUUUUGGUCAUCCAGGUUGCCUCCUAAAUAGGGGAGGCUGAACAGGAGCAUGAAUCUCGGGUCAUAGUUCAAUUCCAGAAACAUGAUUGAUAGGAUGUGCAUAUGAAUUAAGGUAUGUUUUCUUGCUGUAACAUUCAUCCACAUAGUAAAUGGGUUCAUGUCCUCUACGAAAUAUGCAACAAAUGGCAUGAGGACAAAGAAUUCCAGACAUCAUCCACCUUCUACAUGUGCAAGUCCUCUUAGCCAAAUCAACGGAAUGCUUUGAAGAAAGAGCACUACCAAUUCUAGCAACAACUUCAAAGAUAUGGUUUGUAGAUCUAUAUCCAUAGUAUUCUCUAGCCCUCUUUGCAUUCUUUGCAAUUAGUUUUUGGAUCCUUGGUCCUACAUUGACUUUCCAUUUCAUCCUAGCAACCCUUCUAUUUGUUAUUCUUAUCAUUAGAUCUUGUCUCAACUGCUCAAGCAUCACUAACAUAGACUUAUCCCUGCAUGGAACAAUUGCAGCAUUGUAGGACUCGCAAAGGUUAUUGAGCAUCAUAUCACACUUGUAUUCAAUCCCAAAAUGUGCCAUACUCCAGUAACCAGGAGUAUCAUGAUGAUUCAACUAGUCAAUUCCCUUAUUAGAAAUAUCAGUCAUGUCUUUCAUAUGUCUGUUGAACCAAAUUAUAGUAGAAUCUCUUGCUGCCACCCAUAGUAGAUUUUUAAAAACUGGACCAGGGUUCUUCUUUUUGAAGUUAUUGUGCAGAUGACGCGCACAAUGCCUAUGUUCAGCCUCUGAUACUAUAUCAGCUACUGCGUCUAAUAAUCCGUUUUGCUUGUCAGACAUAAACAUAACACCAUCAAUCUUUUUCCCUGUAGCAGCCUAGUCAGCAUUUACAGCGGCUUGGUCAGCCUUUUUUCUCGCAGCAGCAGUUGCAUGUUCUUUCUCAACAACAGUUGUAUGUUCCUUCUCACCAGCAGGAGUUUGGUCCUUCUCACCAGUUGGGGCAUGAUCCUUCUCACCAGUAGCGCCCUGCCCCUCCUAACCAGCAGCGGUGUCCUCCUUACCCUAACACAUGUAUUGGGUUGCUUCACUUUAUCAUCAACUUAAUCAAACAUGUGAACCAACAUCGAUUGCGCCAAAAAGAAAUGCUCUUGAGAAAGAAGGGCUCAUUGAGGUUCAUUUUCCAUGAGAGAUGCAACGUUGGUUCACAUUUUUAUGGAAGAAGAAUCUUAUCGGUGACAUGAACGGUGUUUUGAGGUGAUAUGUAUAUUUUUAUACAUGUUUUUAUAUCUCAACUUCAUUUACAUGUUUUAUUUGUUGUUGUAGAACUAUAGAACUGUACAAGAGUUCAUGCAUUAGAUGCCUUUGCAAUAUAGCUUUAAUUAAGAGAUGUUUCAUGGCUUCAUUACCAAAAGUCUUCUAUGCAAAACAUAAUUUUUAACAUCAUUUAUUCAACUCUGUGCAGAUUUGACAACAUCUAUGAAGGAGCCAUCAACGCAUAUUUGUUCUCUUGAACUCUUUAUGCUUUUUGACUUCUCUUCUAUAUAUGUNNNNNNNNNNNNNNNNNNNNCAUGAAAGGCAGCCUCCUCCUCUAUGGUUCACCUUUGUGUAGUCCUCCUCGGCUUUGAACAAUCUGCAAGGGGAGCAACAUGGGGCUUCAUCAUCAGAGAAUUCGGCUGUUUCCGCCACGGGGUUAGUUUUGGAAACUUCCCCGGGGGGAGUGUUCUCCUGCAUCAAGAAUCCAACAGUUUCACAUGAAAAAACUAUAAUUACAAAGUGACCAAUGUGAAGUACUAAUUAUUGAUAUAACUUAAAUACAUGAUGCAUAUAAACGUCAAAGUAUGUAUUGAACUCAUCUGAUUUUUUAUGGCUUAGGUGGGAAAUCUUAAGGUUGCUUAGAGGAGUUAUAACCACUCACAUUGUUAGAGGAUGAAGAUGAGCAGGGGAUGGGGUGCACCUCCUGUAAGGAACAAACAAUCGAAGUCACCGAACACUGAAAAUCAAAAAAAAGAAAAGAAAAAACAAAUAAAAUGAAAGGGAGACAAAUCAAUCAGAAGAAAAUCAAACAAAUUGAACAUAUUACCUCAUGGGAAUCAGUUUCACGACUUUUUCUUUUAUCGGAAUUUCUUGACUUCUGACCAGAUCAUGGGUUUUUUUUAGUAUUCAAAACACGAAAAUACAAUUUUGUGUGAAUAUUGAACGAAUUUCAUACCUGAAUUGCGAUUUGGAGUGAUAGUUCAUUUAGUCACCGUUUGAAAAUGUAACUAAAGAAAUUGGACGAAUUUUGAAUCCUUAGGGCUCAUUAUUCUAAAACAGGUGUUGAUGUAGUGGAUUAUGCGGGUUAAUCUCUUGCAUCUACAGAUGUUGUCAAUGGUUUAGAGAUAUUGAGACACAAGGUUUAUAAUGAUUCACCUUGCCAUCGGUGGGCAAGGCUACAUCCAAUUAAGAUUCUACCACUACUAGAAAAAAAAAUGCUUAAGCGACGAAUUUUAUCAAGACAAUCACUUAAGCGACGAAAAUAAAAUUUUUCGCUUAAGUUGUCAUUUGAGAGACGAACACAAUUUCUCAUUGCCUAAGUGAUCACUUAAGCGACGACAUCUAUAAAUCGUCUCUUAAGUAGAAAAUUUAAGCGACCAAAGACAUAUUCGUCUCUUAAGUUUAAACUUAGGCGACGGAAUAACUAUAUUUUGUCGCUUAAGUGCCUAUGCAUAAAAUUUUUCAAGGAGCACGAGCAUGUAAACUAACUUUUUUUUCCAUUAUUUUUUUUUUGAUGAGCUAAUGGAGUAACCAAUAAUAGGCCGGACUGUAAACGUUAACGGUUCAAAAAACGGAGUUACGAAGAAUUGAUUAUAAACGUUUUUGUUUCGUAAGAAUUUUCAUUUUAGAGUUGACUAACGUAAUCAAAGGCUUAACGAACUUCAAAUUGAUCAAAAUUUGUUUUACAUACAUAUCUUGUCGUAUUAAUUAUAUCUAACGGUCUUUUUGUUCUAAUUCAAUAUUGCUAAUAUACUUGUUUCAUGAACAUAACACAUACAAACACUUUAGUUAUAGCACUUUGGUCCACAUAAACUAGUUAGAACUUCUAUUGAUAUUUUGUAUUUAAAUUUUAAAUUUUUUUCGUCGAGUAGAUAAAAUAUGCUUCAUGAAGCUUACGCACUUAUAUUUGGAGAAACAAAUUUACGAAAAUUAUUUCACGAUCGUUUUCAUUCCUUUAACUAAUUAUGAUUAUUAGUAAAUUACCAUGAUCGAUUGAAGAAUAAAUCAAACCGAAUUGUGUUUGAUUUGUGUUAAGUUUGUUUUUAUUUUGAAACAUAUUUCUAUAAAUUGACAAGAAUCAAAAUGAUGUAUAAUAUCAAUAAUUAUGGUAACCGAUGAAAGAAAAUUAUGCAACUUUUUAUAGAAUUUGUAUUAAAUGUAUUUUUAGUAUAAUGUUGUAAACUUUUAUUGCAUUUAUUUAAAAAGAUUUGUUAUUAAAUAUGAGUGAUUUAUCAUAAUAAUUUCAUUCCAUUCGUAUUAAUUUUUUAUGGAAAACUAGUAAACUUACUAAAUUAGUGGCAUUUUCUUUAAAGAAAAUUUGGGCACACAAGCGACAAAAUUGGUAAUUUUCCCGCCUAAUUUUCAAGUGGCCAAAAUUUUGGCAGCAAUCUUCCCGCCUAAUUUUUUGGAGCAAUUUCAAACAAAAUUUUUCAAAAAUUUCCAUAAACAUUUGGGGAAAAUUUUAACUUAUCCUUCUACUUAAAGUUCCUCAAACCCCAUUCUCCCCAAAUUCUUUCUCAAACCCCUUUCUUUUCACCUCUUCACCUCUCCUCCGCCAUCGACAACCACAUAGACAAAACACCGCCAGCUUCGUCAAACACCCAAUCUUCCCUCGCCGCGCCAAGCACUCCCUCACUGUCGUCAAGAACGACCUCAUCCUCCUCGAUUGCUCCACAAAUCUUUGACGACUCUGUUCUCUGCCUCGCCAAGCAAUCUGGUCUUCGUCAACAUCGAUUUGGGUCCUCCUCUCCUCUACCUCAAGAAAUCUGGCAGCAAAGUAAGCUUCGGUUCCACCGUCUCCUCGUAUCUGGGUCGUCCUCUCAUCUCCCUCAUCGGAUCUAGGUCCUCAUCUCUCCCUUGGAUCACUCCGGAAUUUUUUUUUUAUCAUUGUCAGAGGAUUAGGGAGUACGAGGACGGCGAUGACGGUGAUUUUUUUGGUGGGGAGAGGUUAGAGGAGCGUGGUAGAGGUGGUGGCGCGUGGUGGUCUUUUGGAUGAGAAGAGGAGAAAAGUUAGAGAAAUUUUAAAUACACACCCUUAAUCUCUUAAUACACAUCCUUAUUAUUUUAUGUUUCUAUUGAGAUUUUAUAGGUAACCUAAAUGACCAAAACAUACACUUAUUAUUUUUUAAAAAAAAUCACGCUAGAAGUAUUCUUUCUAACGUCUUCUACCUUAAAAUCGUCGAAAACAUGUCUUCUCCCCUAACCCCAAUUCUUCUCCACAAUUCAUUUGGGUUGUUUUUUGUUGUUGUUGUUGUUGUAUCUAUAUCAGCUUUAGUUUGAUCUUACAGAUCAUAUUGUCAAGUACUGUAUCUUUAUCAGCUUUAGUUUAGUUUGAUCUUGGAGAUCAUAUUGUUAAAUACUGUAUUUUUAUCAUGAUAUAUUUUAUCGAAUAACUAGCUAUCUAUGUUU
rnacentral:lncRNA from 1 species